AUGUAAAGAGGCCAUUUCAAGCCAAGACAAGGUAGGAAGAAAGUUGAUCAUAAUUGACAUGGUUGUGAGGGAGAAUGAGCAAGUGAAUGAUGAAGCCUCAAGCUUAACUAAAACACAACUCUUUUUCGACAUGUUGAUGUUGGUAUUGGUGGCUGGAAAAGAGAGGCGGGAAGAAGAAUGGGCUAAACUAUUUUUAGCAGCUGGUUUUAGUUCUUUCAAAAUUACUCCUAUUGUGGGUUUGACAUCUCUCAUUGAGGUUUACCCCUGAGAGCAUUUGGUUAUUGCAUUAUUAGUAUAAUAAUGUCGAGAAAUACAUUGUUGAAGUGGUAAAAUUGUUCUUUGUUGACAACAUUUACUAGAGUUGUUUGCUGGGAUUUUAACUGUGUUGCCUAUUCCUAUUGUGUUGUUGUCAUGGUCCUACUCUUAUAGACCUUUCCUGUUGUUAUUACUCUUAAGGUUUGUACUUGUUGUUUUGUCCGUAAUUUGUUUUACUUCAGUCUACGCACAUAUAAUUCUAAUUUUAAUAGUUUAGUGGUCUUGUUGUUGAUUGUUGAUCAGAGCAGCGCAACGGAAUCAUGAUAAAUAGUUCAUGAUUAAUUGUGUGGUGUGAUUGCUCGGUUACUGUGUUUUGUAGUGGUUUUAAAUGGAUAGUCAUUUUGGUGACUAAUGUGACGUUUGAAAUUUGGGUCGGAUCGUUCUGGCCGGGUUUGAGGCGCCACAUCAGAGCCCUAUUUUAAGAUGUUACAAAUAUGUUUGUCAAAGCAGCUAUGAAAGAAAUAUAUCUCACUUGCCAUUGUAAAAUGUAAAUCAAAAUAUCCACUUGUCAUUGCCACUUGUCAAGACAUUUGCUGCAAACAAAAAAAUUAUAGGAUUAAAUUUUAAAUUUCAAAAGAUUACAUGAACCUUUUUCAUAUUUAAAUCAAAAGCAAAUAACGUAAUCAUUAAUCCAUACUUUCAUUUUUUGCUUUUGUUUCUUAAUCAUCAAAAACCAUGAUUAUUUAAACCAGAUUAGAUCGACUGAUUAGACUAAGAAUCAACUAGUGCAUCGAUCCAAAAAUUGAUUAUUAGACCACCAACUAUGAACUAAAUAAAUUGAUAAAAGAAAAUCGAUCCAACCGAUUUUUAUGGUUUUGAGACCAAAUUUCAUCUAUCCCAAAUUGAGCAAAAAGAAAACCAACUACCCCUACCCCUAAAAAAUUAACACCCAGCCUCAAAAUCAAUAUAAAUUUUUUUAAAAAGAACCCCUAAUCUAGUUAUUGUAUUACUAAAACCUAUUAUAAGCACGGUGUGAAAUAGAUAAACUGGACAGCUAGAAGCUUUCUACAUAUUUUUUAGAGUGGUUUAAAAGAAAUAAGAAAAAUAAAAAGAAGAUGAUGAGAGAAAACACAAUAUUCUUUAUAGUUUUAGAUUUUGAAAGAUUUUAAAAAAUAAUUAAGUAAUAAAGCUCUUGACUUCAUCAUUGGUAAAAAGAGUCAUUAAAUUUUGGAAUGACAAAAAGUGUAAAGUAUAUUAUUGACAAAACGUAUAUAUUAUAGAUAUUUAUAUAUUUUUUAUUUUUUAGCGACAAAUCUCAAAAAGUAUACGUGAACUAUGGUUUAAUGUGCAAUUGUAUAAAUUGUCAGAUGAUUACAUCAUCAUUAUCACCUACAAAAAGAGCAAAUUGAUCUUUUCUGUUAAAAAUUUCAUCCAUUUAUACGGUUAAAAAUUGGUGGUUGACGGAAUAACCGAAUAGUGACAUAUGAUGUGCCAUGUGUACUGUACAAGCCCAUUUUUGCCUAAGCCCAGAUAAAUAAAACCCCCAAAAACAAAAAAAAUUAAAAAAUUAACAAUCCAAGAAAUUUAACCCAAAACACCCUAGCCCAAUUGAAGCCCAAACUUAAACCCAAAAUACCAGCCCAUUACAACCCAAAACCCACUAACCCAAUAGUCAAACUAGGGUUUCAGUUUUCUGAAACCCUAGCCGCCGCAACCUAUCCCUAGCCUCAGCUAUCAACUCCUCUAACAACCGCUGCCAUCGCCGCUUCUUCCUGCGGUGCUAACCAUGCCCUGCAAAGAAGAACAAGCACGCAAGAGAAACAUGAGAAAAUAGAUUAAAAAAAAAAGUGUUGUAAAUGGCUAUAAAAGCCAUCUAAAACCGAUUAUAAAGGGGGGUUCAGUUUUUCUUUUUUUUUUCGAACAUUUCAGAAAAUAAAAAAAGACACAAAGAAUAAAAAGAAACACAGCAAUCUCAAGGUGAUUGUUUGAUUUUAGAACAAGAUCCAUAUUUUGAUAGUGUAUCCCUAUUUUUUAUUUUUUAAAUUCUUUUUAUAUACGGUAAAUAUAAAAAGAAGAAAAGGGGAAACUCACCGGGGUAGGGCUUUGAAUGCCCGUUCUUGCACUUCAUCGGCCGUCGGAUACGGUGGCAGUGCGGCGAGCAGAGAGGUUGCACAACGGAGGCCGAGGGGAUUGAGAGCCGGAUGUUGAGAGAAAAAGGGGAGGGGUUUUGAAUUUUUUUUUUUAAAUGGUGGCUGUACUGAUUUUCAAAAUUUUUUUACUUAAAUACACUAAAUAAAACGGCGCCGUUUUGCAACUAGGGGUCAGGUGCCAAAACAACGUCGUUUUGGUCCUGACCCGCGACCUGACCCGUCCGCCCUCAGGAUUCGCGUGUUCCUGCGGUGAAGGGGGAUAUUUGCGCACUAGGUCCCUCCUCUUUUGCGCCCUAGUGCAAUUUGGUCCCGUUUUGUUUUUUAAUUCGGCCGCAUAAUUUCUCGUAUGUUUCACUUCAGUCCGCGCCAAAAUGUUGCACAUAGAGCCUGGGAUAUUUUCCAAAUCAGCCCUCCGUUCUUUGAGCGCAUUAUAUUUUGGUCCCCGAGUACCCAUUUUUUGUUUAUUUGCAUUUUAAACCCCGAAUUUCGUUUUCAAAAUUCGAUUUAGCCUGUUUGUUGUAUUAUUUUGGUUAUUUUAUUAAUAAUAAAUUAGAUAUUAUUAUGAUUAUUACUAUAAUUUGUUAUUGUUAUUAUAUUAUUAUUUAUGUUUACUUAUUUAAAUAUCAAAUAUAUGUGUCUUCUUAUAUUAGUAUUAUUAUUUGUUAUUUAUGUCCCUUUUUUAGUUUUAUUUUUUAUUUAUUUCAAGUUUUGUUAUAUAUGUGUAUAUAUACAUUUCUAUAAUAUAUAUGUCUAUAUGUCUAUAUUCUUUUAUUUUAUAACUCAUAUAUAUAUACAUACAUAUAUAUAUUUUUAUAAUUCUACAUAUAUAUAUUUUUAUCUAUUUUCUUUAUUGUUAUUAUUGUUUUACUUGAUGUUCAUUUAUUUAUUUGUUUAUAUGUCCAAUGUUCUCUUUUUAAAAAAAUGUUUAGUUUUUAUUUGUUUAUUUACUUGUUUGGUAUAUACAUAAUUAAUUUGUUUUAUUUUUUUUUGCUCGUAUUAUUUUUACUUACAUUAUCAUAAUUAUUAUUCCGUCAUAUAUAAUUUUUACCCAAAUUCGUAAAAAAGAGAAAAUUUUGAAAAUAAAGACAAUACUCGAUAUUUGGAAUCUUCGAGAGGAUUGAGCCCUAACGCAUUGGGUUCCAAUUUUCUUCGUUAAAUCUAAAUAAUCAAGAAUGCUCUUUAAUAAAAAAAUAUAAAUAAAAGCUCAUUAUCGGGAAUUCAAUACUUUGUGUCCUAACGCAUUGGAUAUGACACGUUGUUUUCUCGGGAAUAAAAAAAAUAAAAGCAUUCCCUAAUGUGUAGGGUUACAAUUUUUCGUUUAGCCAAAUAGUCAAAUACCCUCUUAAAGUCUCAAAGUAUAGGUUUUGGAAGCCAUAAGGUGAUCUUGGUUUCGAGAGUUUAAAGUAUCGUAUCCUAAUGCGCUGGAUGUGAUAUUCUUUCGGAACAAGAGAAUCCUAAAUUCCAACCCAUAUCGUUCAAAAUUUUUAGGAUCGUAUUUUUAAAAUUUUUUAAAGUUUUCAAUCUUCGACACUAAAGACACUAAAUAAUCAACUAGGUACCAAUUUUUGGGCGUUACGAGGGUGCUAAUCCUUCCUCGUACGUAAUCGACUCCCGAACCUAUUUUUUCUAAAUUUUGCAGACCAAAAGCACUGUUUUAAUAAAUCUAAACCGUUUAUUAAAAAUAAUCGCUUUACGAGGUGACCCGAUCACACCUCAUUAAAAAAGAUUGGUGGCGACUCACGUUUUCGUUUAUGUUUUUAAAAUCCAAGUCGACCCCUGUUUUAUCAAAAAAAUGGUGUCAACAGCUUGGCGAAUCCACUGGGGAAGCAUAAGAGAGUCAAGCCAUAAAUUGAUUAAUUUUGUCUUUUUUGUCGAAAAUUGAAAUUUUGAUUUUUAACAUAUGAUCCUCUCAUUGCAUUUCAUCUGUUUUGAGUUAUAGUUUUCAUCAUGUUUUGUAUUUUAAUUUUUUUAUAUCUUCACACAUUGCAUUGCAUGGUCGUGGGUCACACCCUUUUAAGUAGGAGUGAGAAGCUACUCCUUCGUGAGGUUUUCACCUCCGUGCAGGAUAGUGGAUCGCUUUCGGGAUACAUUCGUACCUAUGUCUUCGUGAGAUUUUCAUCUCCGUGCAGCCAUAGGGAAAUGUAUUCCCCUAAACUGAACUCGGUCUAUAUGAGCCUAUAAUGGGUGAAGAUCGAGGAAUUUGUAAGUUCAGGUACCCUUUCUUUAGAACCGAGCCGCAUAUAGUGAAUCCUGAGAAUGUACCCUAGGUAAAGACACAUGGCAACUGAUGAGAAGCUGUUCAAGGACCUUGAUAGGAGUUUUACUACAAGAUUAGAAUUGGUAAUGGGAAUCUAAUUGAAGCCAAAGGUAGAGGAGAUGUUGUGAUCAACACUUGGUCAGGUAACAAAGUAAUUUCUGAUGUGUUUUUUGUGCCUGACAUAGAUAAGAAUCUACUUAGUGUUGGUCAGUUAGUGAAAAAAGGGUAUUCACUGGUAUUUAAAAAUGGCUCCUACAUUGUCAAAGACUCACAUGGUUAGGAGUUACUCACAGUAGCAAUGACAGAUAGGUGAUUUAUGCUCGAUGUGAAUCAACUCGAGAAGAAGGCUUACAGAAGUCUUGUUGACAAUGCUGGCCUACGGCACAAAAGACUAGGCUAUAUCAACCAUAGAUCACUUGACUUGUUGCAUAAGUUGAACUUGGUUGAAGAUAUGUACAAGGUUAAAGUCAAAUUCACUGUAUGUGAAGUUUACCAGCUUGGUAAGCAGGCUAGAUUGCCAUUUCUAGGUAAUAAGGCAUGGAGGGCUCGAGACAAACUUAAGUUGGUCUAUUCUAAUAUCUGUAGGCCAAUGAGGACUCCUUCCUUGAAUGGCAACAAGUAUUUUGUGCUAUUUAUUGAUGAUCUGACCAGGUUUUGUUGGGUUUAUUUCUUGAAGCAGAAAUCUGAAGUGUUUGAAGCAAUCAAAAAAUUUAAAGCUUUAGUUGAAAACCAUACUGGCUGUAAGAUUAAGGCUUUGAGAACUGAUAAUAGCACUGAGUACCUAUUUGAAAGGUUUCAGAAAUUGUGUAAACAAGUUGGGAUUCAUCAUCAGCUAACAACAGUCUAUACACCUCAGCAAAAUGGAGUAUAUGAGAGGAAGAAUAGAACUAUGCUUGAUAUGGCCAGAUGUCUAUUAUUUCAGAGCAAGUUGCCAAGCAAAUUUUGGGUUGAGGCAGUCAAUACCUCAGUGUACCUGCUCAACAAGCUGCCAACUCAUGCUGUCAAAGACAAGACUCCUUUUGAAGCUUGGCAUGCACUCAAGCCAACUGUUUCACAUCUGAGAGUGUUUGGUUGUGUCUGUUAUGCCCUCAUUUCAGCUGAGAAGAGAACCAAGCUUGAAAGAAGGGCUGUUCCAAAGAUAUUUGUUGGGUAUAGCAGUACAAAAAAGGGUUACAGGGUAUUUAAUCCUUCAACAAAAAGGAUUUCAGUGAGUAGAGAUAUAAGGUUUGAUGAGGAGAAGGUUUAGAGCUAGAAUGAUGCAGAUGCAAAGUUGAUUAAAGAAAAUCAACUUGACAACAGCCUGGAAUCAGUUGAAAAUGAGCCUAGCAAUGAAGAUUUUGAUGAUGCUCCUAUGAGAGGUACCAGAACUAUUGCUGACAUCUACCAAAGAUGUGAUGUUACAAUAGUGGAACCUUUCAAAUUUUGAAGAAGCUGCCAGGGACAAGUGUUGGAAGAAGGCCAUGGAAGCUGAAUUAGACAUGAUCCACAAGAACGACACUUGGGAAUUGGUUGACAGACCAGAUCAAAAGAAAGUUAUAGGUGUCAAGUGGGUGUUUAGAGCCAAGUACAAUGUUAAUGGCUCAUUAAACAAACACAAAGCAAGGCUUGUGGUGAAAGGCUACAGCCAGCAAUAUGUCAUCGAUUUCAUGGGGACAUUUGCUUUAGUAGUAAGGCUAGACACAAUUAAACUUCUAUUUGCCUUGGCUGCUCAGAAGCAAUGGAUGGUCUACCAGUUAGAUGUUAAGUCAGCAUUUCUGAAUUGUUUCCUCACGGAGGAGAUUUUUAUUGAGCAACCAGAUGUGUUUAAGGUCCUAGAAAAAGAAGGCAAAGUCUACAGGUUAAAAAAGGCACUGUAUGGCCUAAAGCAGGUACCAAGGGCCUGGUAUGACAGGGUUGGCACAUACCUGUCUAGGCUAGGGUUUGAGAAAAGUGUUAGUGAAGCUACACUUUAUGUGGAAAAGUCAGAAAGUGAGACCUUGCUGAUUAUAUCUCUCUAUGUGGAUGACUUACUUGUGACUAGAAGCAAAGAUGAAUUGAUCAGUGAAUUCAAAGUGCAAAUGCAAGAAGUGUUUGAAAUGACAGAUUUGGGAGUCAUGACAUACUUUCUUGGUAUGGAAGUGAACCAAUCUAAUCAAGGCAUUUUCAUUAGCCAACAUGCCUUUGCCUUAAAGAUUCUCAACAGAUUUUGCAUGUUGAAUUGCAAAACAGUCAGCACACCAGUAGCACAAGGAGACAAGCUGAUUAGUAGUGGAAAUCAGAAAAGGGUUGAUGAGAAAGAAUAUCGAAGCCUGGUAGGUUGCUUGCUCUAUUUAAUAGCAAAUAGACCUGAUAUUAUGUUUGGUGUUAGUCUUUUAUCAAGAUUUAUGCACUGCUAUGAUGUGACUCAUUUCAAAGCAGCUAAGAGAAUCCUCAGAUAUGUAAAGGGGACCUUGAACUAUAGAGUUAAGUUUGAGAAGGGAAAGGAGUUUAAGCUAUCAGGAUACUCUGAUAGUGAUUGGGCUGGCUCUGUCGAUGACAUGAAGAGUACCUCUGGUUAUUUCUUUACCCUUGGAUCAGGAGUUUUCUGCUAGAGAUCAAAGAAGCAACAAACUGUUGCUUAGUCCACAGCUGAAGCAGAAUACAUUGCAGCUGCUGCUGCUGUUAAUCAAGCCAUUUGACUUAGGAAGCUCCUGUAUGAUCUUAAUGAUGAACAAGCUGAACCAACUGAAAUCACGGUUGAUAACCAAUCAGCUGUUGCCAUAGAUAAAAAUCCAGUCUUUCAUGGAAAGACUAAACAUUUGAAGAUCAAAUUUCAUUUUGUUCGAAAGGCUGAACAGUUAAAAGAAAUCAAUCUUGUUCAUUGCAGCUCAGAAAUUCAAUUGGCUAAUAUUCUGACUAAGUCAUUAGGAGCUACUAGACUUGAAACUUUAAGAAGCAAAAUUGGUGUUUGUUGCAUACAGUCUAAGGAGGAGUGUUGAGCAUUGGCCUAAACUGCAACAAAAGACCAGCAGCAACUCAGCACAAGACCAGCAGCAGCUCCAGCUGAAGUGCAGCAUUGAAACUGAACCGAAUGCAACAGUUUAUUUUGUUCCUAUGUAACUUUGUUUAGUUUACUUGUAAUUUGUUCACAAAGUUAGUAGGAUUAGUUUAUGAUUUGAAUUGAUGUAAUAGCUGAUAUGUCAGCUUACUUUUGUGUGUAAUUUAAGUUAGUAUUACUCAUGUAUUAGUGGGAGCAAUUAAGUCAUUAGGUAACUAUCCAACUCUUUUGUAACUUUCUUAUAUUUUUCAAAUUUUGAAUGAAAAUCAAGGUGAAUUUUUCAGUUAUCAUUCUUGCAAAGUUUCUUUCUAUUUUUGCUUCGGUUCUUUUUUUUUUCUUUGUCUUUUGUUUUCCUGCCAAAAGUUCCAACAGUUAGCAACAACAUGAGGAAGAUCAAGCGCAAUACACUCCAAGUGUGGAAGCGCAUCAACAAUGGCCUUGCUCAAUGUUCUGGUACCACCUCCAACAUCCACCAAAGAAUUCAAUCCCUCGAACACCUUUUUGCACUUGUCAAUAAGAAUGCUAUUAACCAAUCGAUCAUUGCUAACCAUGCCUUCAUUAAACAAACUAUCUAGCUUUUGGUCAUGUCUGGUAUAGUCCUAGAAUGUCUUUCCGUGUGUGGUAUCAAAUGGAGUAUGAUCAUUAUUUUGGAACCAAGUGCCUAAACAAUACCAAGGCUCUGUUAAAAUAGGAUCCAACAUAGCUUUCAAAAAAGGUGUUACCCUUAAUGGAUUAUCCUUAAAGUAGCAGAUGAGAAGCAUUCGUAAGAACAUAACCGUCUUCUUGAGCAUCAUUGCAUAAAUUUCGUUGUGCAAAGAAGCCCGAAUGAGCUAAAAUACGCAUGAGCCGGUAGAUGUUGCAUGCCUUGGUAGGGUUGAGCAUUGGUAGUGCAGCAUCCAAAUCAGUAAUGGCCAUAGGCUUGCCAUGAUUUUGAAUAAUAUAUGGGAUACCUAAAUGAAUUGCACAUUUGAGAGACAUGGAAUUUAUGAAAUUCAAAAUGUGGUUCAAAACGUGAGCUUGAGCUUGAAGUAGCUCAUUAACAUGCUCUCCGUUCGCAUUCACCAUAUCCAUCUUAGCCAAGGUCUUUUGGCCUUGCUCUUAACCCACGUAACACUGGAAUUUGCUAUUUAUAGACCGUGAAACAUAUCUGCAAGUAUGGCUUUACUCUGAAUCCGCACAACACUGAAAUUUUCUAUUUUUAGAAUAUUUUUAUGCCUUUUCGUGGUCAUUGGUUCCCAUGCUGUAACGUCUCAAUAAUAGAGUUAAAUCUGUUCAUUGUAAUAAUAGUAAAUGAGCCCAACGCUACCAUAAAGAAAUAUCAUUAAAGAUAUUGCAAAGGCGAAUUGAUCUUCCAUCCAAUGUUGUCUUCAAUCAACCUUUAAAACAAAAUAAUUAAGAAAUUAAAGAAAUAUCAUUUCUCUUAAAUAAUAAUUGAUAUUAUUAGUAUAAUAUUUUUAUUAUUGUAAAAUAGAUAUUCAUGCAGCCCCAUAAUGCCCAAGAAUUCAUUUUCUUGCAACUCUCGUACCCCUAAAAAUUUAUAAGGAACUUUAAUUAUAUUUAUUAGAGUUUUAUAACUUAUGGUGGUUGGGGCCCUAAAAAUAGAAAAUAUGUAUAAGUCUUCUAUAUAUACCAAAGUUAAAGUUGAAUAAUCCUUUCAUUUUUUUGUUAUUCUCUCUUGUUCAUUCUAUAUUUCUUUUUGUUUUAUAAUACAUUAUCAGCACAAUUUUGUUAACGAGUAAUAGGUUCUUAGUUUGUGCAAAAUUUUGUUGGGCUCUAAGCAUUGGAAUUUAAUUGUUUGGUUCAAAAAAUCGUGUGUGGUUGCUUGAGAUUUGUUUGGGGACGACCACUUUCUCUUCACUACAAAGAAUGCUCAUAGUCUAUACUUCUCAUCCACAACUACCUAAGUAAGUCUAAUAUUUUUUUUUUGAAAUUUGAUUCGAUUUCUAUUAAGAAGUUAAAUUUAUAUAAUUCUCUAUUUGCAUUUCUAUGAAUUUAUCAAUCCCUUCUUUAGUUUAAUAAUUGGAAUUUCUACGUGAAGUAUAUGUUUUUUUUUAUAGAAUUGAUUGGUUUAGUUUUAAUUUUGAUUAAAAUAUAUUAUUGUUCUUAUAUCUUCUUAUCUAUUGUAAAGGUGUAUUAUAUGCAAUAAUUAGUUUGGAGUUUAAAUUUAUACAUGCUUGAGAAUUGUAUAGUGAAUUUUUUGCUACAACCUCACUAAGAAAGUGUGUAAAAGAUUCUUUAAAAUUAUGGAUUAGUUUUGAAAGAAAAUUAUGAUAAAAAAAAUUAUCAUUAGAUAUAUUUCAUUCUCUGAAGUGAAUGUAGCAUUACAUAAUCAAUCUUAAAAAUGACAAAGUUAUAAUUGCGAUUAUGAGCAUGGUCUUUGAUGAGCUAUUAUGGGUAUAAUAAUCACUAUAUUAAUUAUAGUGAUUAUAAUAAUUCUUUUCUCUCCUAUAAAGUGGAAUGAUAAAUUUAAAUAAGAGAAUCAUUAAAGUUUUCCAAAUAGCCCUUCAAAGAGAACAAAAAUAUUUUUGUGAUACUCAAAAAUCAUUUGACACAUGCAUAUUGAUUGUGUAUUUUUCCAAGGUUUCAUAAAAAAAAAUGAAAGGGAACAAUGUGUAUACACAUUUGAUCAUUUUUUAUCAUUGAAAUUAAUUUGGAAAUUUGACAAUUUUGACAUAAUCCCUGAAGCGAAUAUUGCACAAAAUUUUAUAGAAAUUAUAUUUCUUUUGUUGAGUUAAUGACAUUAUGGACCUCUCAUAUAAAAGGAAUGACAACGGAAUUAUAAAUUGUCACAAUUUAUAUUGACAUUAUAAUUCUAUUAGUUGUGGUAAAGUACAAGGCUAAAAAAAAGAUGAUGCUAAUAAACAUUAUGAUAAAUAUGAAUGCAUUGUGUUCAUGCCUGUAGCAUGUCUAAAACAUUAAAUUUGGCAAAGUCUUAUAAAAAAAAAGAGAGAUUCCAUAUUUCAUGAUAAUAAAAUUUGAAUUAAAAUUAUGCUAUAAGAGUUGGAGGUUAGAAAUUUUUAAUUUAAAACCUUUGCAAAUUUAAUAUCUUAUUGUGACCUAAUAAUAUUUUGUGUUUUAUUGUGUUACGGUAUAUAAAAAGUUAUCUAACCGCAUGCUUGUUAAAGUGAUUGAGUAAUGACAUUAAUUUAUUUUUUGCUUUUAGUAUAUAUAUUAUUUAUACUUAUUCUUUAUACAAAUAUACAUAUUCUUUUAUAUGAAUAUGUAGGGAUUGUCCCGAUUAAGAAACAAACAAAUAAAAAAUAGCGGAAGUAAUUGAGAAAUUGAGUACACAAAUUUAACGUGGGAAAACCCCUUUAAAGAGGAUAAAAAACCACGGACAAAAGUAAUUUUACUAUAAUGGCAAAAGAACGAAGAGUAUAAAAGAUGGAGAUAAAAAUUAAACCCCAAAACAAAGAACCCUCAAAACGUAAAUACUAAAUUCUCCAAAAGUGUUAUGAGUUCUAAUCUUUUUUAAUGGGUGUAUUUUCUAAGGUUAUAAAAGAGCGUAUUUAUAGGCUAAAUUUGUAGGUCAAAUAAUAAUAAAAUAAUAUAGACUAAUCAAAGUUCGACUAAAACAGAUAAACAAAGUUUAACUGAGAGAUUACCUCUCAAAUUUGACUGAAAUAUAAGGCAUACUCAACAAAUCUCCACCUUGACUCGUAUUUUCACAACGUCAUCUUUGCCAAAUCUCGCCACGAGUCUAUGUUGAACUAUGUAGGGAAUUAAUUAAGUUGAAUCUAUGCUUAGAAGCUGGAAGACUUCUAGCAUUAUUGCUAAAUCAAAACUAACUCGAGUCUGACUUUCACUAACAGAGUGCCUUAACUUUUCAAAACCUGCAUCCAAAAGAGAACCUUUCUUCAACGAAACAAUCAUACCUUUUUCCCUCCUAUGACCAAGUUGCCUCCACUCCAAACGAGUUGACUUCGACUCUGCAAUGGACGAGGGACGUCUGGUUUCAUCGGUCACUAUAGAACCUUCCAGAAUAUAAAGACUAUUGGUCUUUUUACCUUUUAACAAAACAAGAGCCCCACAAGACACCUUAAUGACGCUUGACUCAAUGUUGAUUUUGUAACCUUUUGAGUCUAAAAUACACAAGCAGAUGUGAUUCUUUUGUAAACCGGAACCAUACCUGACAUUUGAGAGUGUCCUAAUCGUCCCAUCGUGCAUCCUAAUUUUAACAGUGUAACACCCCUAGCCCCUCUCUGUCAUGAAUUAGGGUUACAAGCAUGACCGUACAAUUAUAAAUUCUACAAUUAAUUUCAUUCAAUAGCAUAAACAUAACUUAAAUCAUUCAUGCAUACACAUAUUAUCCCUAAAUCGAGCCCUCGAGGCCCUAAAAAUACUUUAGAAAAAAAACUAGACCAAUUUGAAAUCAUUUGAAAACCCUAGGAAAAAUUCACAAAAUUUUGAAAAUAAGGGUCACAUGGCCGUGUAUUUAGGUCGAGUGCCUCACACGGUUGAGACACAGGCCCGUGUCUCAGGCUGUGUAAUAAUCGAAAUAGGGACAUACGGCUGUAUCCCAGCCCGUGCCUAUACCUGUAUAACAUUUGAAUUUGAGACACACGACCGUGUCCCAGCCUGUGUAACUCACUAAGUAAGGUUACACGGCCAUGUCACACACCCGUGUGCUAUCUGACUUGCAUCCUCAGUACUCAACAGAUGACACAUGGCCAUGUCACCAAGCCAUGUGACACAUGCCCGUGUGUUUGGCCGUUUGGACCUAAAAUGUACCUUAAACAACAAGUUUACCAUUUCCUACUUUCUUGGGUAUUAAGCAACUCAAAAACCAAUCAUUUAACCUAUUCAAAAUACGAUCAAACAUACUCAUAACAUGCCAAAACAAUCAUCUUAGGUGACUAACCAAUGUACCCUCAUUGGUACCACAAUUUAUAUCAUCAAAACAUAUCAUCAAUGCCUAAAAUUCAGAAUUUUCCCCUAAGGUCGUGCCCGUCAUUCCGAUCGACUAUAGGCCUUCCGUAGGGUCGAUAUGUGAUUAAAUAUAUUAUAAAACAUGAAAUUUGGUCAUUUUUUGGUUUAUUUUCUGCUAUCCACAAGUGUAUUUGGGAUGUCAUAUGAUAAUUAAAAUUGAGAACAAAAUAUUUAAUUUGUAUCUGAUAUGUUAUGUAUGAUUUUUGCCUUGAUCAUAUUUGAUUUUAGGAUGGGCUAUAAAUAUUAUGUGGAGGAAGUGUUUCUGUGAGAGGUGACAUCUCGCCCUCUACACUGGCAGCACUGCUGCAAAUAUUCUGUAAGUGUCUUAACGACAGUAAGUGGUGUGUAGGGUUGGAUAAGUGUUUCAAACCCCAUGUGGUGUGUUGGGAUGGUUGAAGAUGGUGUAUAGCAGUUGGGGGCAGGAAUUAUAUAUGUAUGUUUGUAUCUGAAUUGCUUUGUUAAGAUUCUGUACUGUUAAAUUGUCUGGUAAUAAUUAUCUGUUUGAGUUGGUUGUUGCACACUAAGUUACAAAAACUCAUUCUCUAUUUGUUUGUCACUUUUAGGUAACUCAUAGACUUAGGAGGGUCGGUGCGACAGGAGCUCGGUUAUAUUAGUAUUUUGUUCUUCCUAACUAUUUUAAAUUGGGUUUAAGUGUUUUGUAAAAUUUGGAUUGUUUGGAUAUUUUGGGAUCGUUUUGGUUUUGGAUUUUAUUUUUUACUUCUGCAUGAUACUGAUAAAACUAUUUAUCGAAAAUGUCUAUUUCCCUGCAAACAAUCGAUUUCGAGAAAAUAAACUUGGUUUUCUAAAAUAUAAUGACCUAAGAAUUUCCAUUGCAAAGUAUCCGUUUUAUUUAGAAAUGUAAACAAAUAAUGUUUUCAAUUAAAUAGUAAUGUCAAAUAUGUUUUCUAAUAAAACGAGUUUUUAAGUAACAAAAUUUUAUGAUGUUUUUUAAAAUAUACGAAAAUUAGAUUUAUAAUUAUUUUACGUAACAUAUCCAAAUCCAACCGAAAUAUUUAGGCCGAAUUUAGGAUAUAGUUGUAUGGUUGUUUCCGUUUGAAUGAAAAUAAUCAUCUUCACUAAAAAUUUAAUAAAUUGACUUGAACUUUAUAAGCAAACUAAAAUAUGAUCACGUAUAUUAUUAUUUGUUUAUCGGAUAACAUUUCAUUCUUAUCAGGCUGCAAGAUUGAAAUCUUAUUGAUAAAGAAGAAACAAAACCAAAAAAAUUUUGAAGACCCAAAAUCCAGAAAAAAGGUAAAAGUAUUAUAAUACGUUUUUUACUAUACUUUAAAUUGUAUUUUAGUUUCUUAGAAGAAAAAAUAGUAAAAUAUUCCCUGUAGUAAGAAAAAUAGUCUCUCCGUUAAAAUUGUACUAUUGAAUGUCUAUUUUGGUGUUUAUAUAUAUAGUAUAAUGAUAAAUUUAGCCUUCAAUUUUUACAUAUUUAUUGAAUUUGACCCCUACUCUUUUAUUGAAAGUAAACAGAAAUUUUUUAGAAAAGAAUAAGUCUAAAAGCCAAAAAGAUUUUAGUAGUAAAAUUUAAAAAAAUCAAUUAAACCCUUUUAAAAUUUAAAAAUUAUAAAUAAAUUUAUAAAAAAGUUAUAAAAAUUAAAAUUAUAAAGUUUUAUUAAAAUAACAAUACCAUCUCAAUAAAAGAAUAGGGGUCAAAUUUUUAAAAAUCUUAUAACCAUUAGAUUUUAAUGGGUCGGUAUUAUUAUUAAUUAAUUAAAAUUUUAUAAUUUUAAAAAUUGUACAACAUUUUUUGGAAUUUUUUUAUAUUUUUAUGAUUUUUUAAAAUAAUUUUUAAAUUUUACAAGAACUUAAUUGAUUUUUUUUAAUUUGUUACAAAGGCUUUUUUACCCUUUACCCUUACUAAUUUCAAAAAUUUCUAAUUUAAUACCAAUAAAAGAUUAGGGGCCAUAUUGAAUAAAAAUGUAAAGGUUGAGGCUAAAUUUAUUUUUAUACCUUAUAUUUAAACACCAAAUUUUAACAAUGAACUAUUUUACUCACUUAUCUAAUGUACAAGGAAUAAUUUACUAUUUUUUUCAAUAGAAAAAUAAAAUACAAAAAAAAAAUGGUGAUACUCUUAUUCGAAUAUGGUGCUACAAUAUUAUCACAUCUAUCGUUUAUUUAUUAAUUUCAAAAACGAGUUAAAAAAACAGUAUCAGAUUUUUGACAGGUUAAGAAAUUAUAAUGACCGUCCAAGUCCUCAAUCAAUAUAUAUGGCUUUUGGGUUUUCUUUUGUCAGAAUGUGCAUGGCUUUGAUUUUAAGCAACUUGGUGCAUUGAAAAAGUCAAUUCACUUAUUUAUUUUUGAUAACGUGAGUAGUAUAUUUAGUAGAAUUUAAAAGCUUCACAAAACUUUUAAAUCACUGUUUUAUUUGUUUCAAACGUACAUAUUAUAGUAAUAAAAAUAAUUUAAACCUCGCGGAGUCAAUUAUUUAUUGCUUCGAAAGUAUUAGAAAUAUGAAAAAUAGGAAAUUUAUUAAUCUGACUUAACAAAUACAAUUAGAUCUCCAAUACUUAUACACCAAAAAUAAUCAUUAACAGAAUAUACUAACAUUGAACUGUUCUUAACUGAUUUACAUUUCUUAGUUACUAUUGAUAUUCCCCCUACAUAUUCGCUUUGAAAAACAUCAGCAACUAUCACAUUUAUGUAAUAACAAGAAAAAGCACCAAUGUUUAACGGUUUGGUAAGCACAUCAGCAACUUGAUCAUUCGAAGGAGUAGUUGACCUGAAGUUGUUCGUUAAGCAUCUUGUCACGCACAAAACGUAAGUCAAGCUCAACAUGCUUGACACGAGCAUGUAACACUAGAUUUGCUACCAAAGACGUAAUGCUAGAAUUAUCACACCAAAUUAUUGGUGUACCUUUAAUCCUCACACCUAUAUCAUCUAGCAGAGAACGAAACCAUGUCACUUCGGAUGUUGCAUUAGCUAGACUUCUAUACUCGCCUUUUGAGGUGGAUCGAGAUAUAACACUUUGCUUCUUAGAAGUCCAUCCGAUGAGGUUGUUGCCAAGAUACACACAAAAUCCUGAUGUUGACUUACGAGAGCUAGCCCAAUCAACAUAAGAAAAACCUGUUAAGGAGACAUUCGAAGGCUGAAAAACCAGAACAUGAGUUAGUGUACCUCGAAUAUAACGUAGGAUCCGUUUGACAGCCGUCCAAUGAACAUCAUGUGGACAAUGCAUGUAUUUGCUGACUUUGUUAACAGCAAAUGCUAUGUCAGGUCGAGUCAGACAUACGUACUGCAAACUACCAACAACUUGCCAAUAUUUGGUACCAUCCUCAAGUGGAGAACCAGUCAACGAAGUGAGCGCAGGGGAUUUUACCAUAGGUGUAUUAACUGAUUUAGCAUUAGCCAUAUUAGCUCGCUCCAAGAGUUCUCCAGCAUACUUUUGCUUAGACACAUGCAUACAAUCUCCAUUUGUAUCCACUUGAAGGCCAAGAAAAUAUUUCAACUCCCUUAAAUCCUUAAGGAGAAUGUUUGGUUCAAACAUUGAAUCACAUCAUCUAACUCGGAGCAUACAUCACCUGUCACGGUUAUAUCAUCAACAUAUACAAGAAGAAAAAUACAACCAGAUAGAGUUUGUUUGAAAAAUAAUGAUGAAUCAGCUCGUGAACCUAAAAAUUCAGCUGUUGAACUAAAAAACCCCUUAAAUUUUCAAACCAUGCUCUCAAUGCAUGCUUAAAAGCAUAGAUAGCUUUGUUCAGUCGACAAGCUAAAGGCUUCCCAUUGACAUCCAAGGCCCCCAAACUAGGUGAUUGUCUCUUGUAUAUAUCUUCAGCCAAAUCACCAUUUAGAAAAGCAUUAUUGACAUCAACUUGGUGUAGUUUAUCCUUUCUCGACACAACUAGCGCAAUAAUAGUUCGAACUGUUUUUGCUUUGACCACAGGACUGAAUGUCUCAUGAUAAUCCAAUUUAACAGCUUGAGAAAAACCUUGAGCAACUAGACGAACUUUGUUUCGAGCCACACUACCAUCUGGGUUCUUUUUUAUCUUGAACAACCAUUGCAGCCAACAAGGAAUCGGUUAGCUGGUGUCGACAAUAAAUCCCAAAUAUUAUUUUUUUACUAGAGCUUGUAGCUCAUCAUGAACAACAUCCUUCCAUUUGGGAAUGGCCAUAGCUUCAUGAAUGUCAAUCGACUCAACUGAGCUAAGAGUAGCAGUGUAAACCUUUGGCUUGUUAACCCCAACUUUGCUCCGAGUAAUCAUAGGAUGAAUAUUACUCUGAGUUGAACCUUGCAUCAUUGAACUAGUAGAAGGAAUUAUAGUCUGAGUAUGCUGACUGUCAUCUGAUUUUGAUACGGACAAGCCUGAAACAGUAGAGUCCUAUUAAGGAUAUUGCAUAGAAUAUUCAGAAGGAGCUGGUAUAGAAACCAUAGGAUGAGUACUCACAGGUGAGGGAAACAUAACAAUUGGAAGAGUAGUAACAAUACUGGAACUAUCAUACUUCCAAAUUGAAACUUUGGCAAAUGGAAAAGCCCUCUUCAUCAAAUUGAACAUGUCGAGAAAUGUACACUCGACUACUCUUAUCCAAACAUUUAUAACCUUUGUGAUUUGGUGCAUAGCCCAGAAAUGUGCAAGGCGUGGACCUAUACUAUAACUUGUGACAGUUGUAUGGUCUCAGCAAAGGAGAGCAUAAGCACCCAAACACAUGAAGCUUCUUAUAAUCAAGAUUCUGACCAAUAAGCUUUUCACUCAGAGAUAUUCCACCUAACACGUUUGUAGGAAGCAAAUUCAUGACAUACUCAAAGUAAAAGGCAUCAGUCCAAUAAGAUAAGGUAAGGAUGCAUGAGCAAGCAUAACCAAACCAGUUUCCACAAUCUUCCAAUGACGCCUUUCCACCAACCCAUUUUGCUCAGAUGUGUGCAGACAAGUGAGUUGAUGAGCUAUACCACAACCCUUGAUAUAUGAAGUAAAGCUGCGAAACUCACCUCUCUCAUCUGUCUGAAGUUUUUUGAUCUUGACACCUAGCUGAAGUUCAACAUGAGUUUUGAAAUUCAAAAACAUUUGCAACGCAUCAGAUUUCUUGCGAAGAAAAUAUAUCCAUGCGUGCCUUGAAAACACAUCUACAGACAAAAUGUAAUACUGUUUGAAAUCAAUUUUCAAAUCUAAACCUACUUUAUACACUUAAAUUUUCCAGCGAAAUUUUCAAAAAAUUAUAGCAGCUGUGAAUAAUUAACAUAUUCUAAAAUAAAUAACACUGUUUUUAUCAUGUAUGUAUAAGAACCAUACUCAAUCUCAUCGUAAAACCCUAAUAAUAAAUAUAAAUAACAUUUCAACUAAUUUCAAGACUUCCUAAUAAUCCAUAUCAUGCAUCCUAAAUUAUCAGUUUUUAAAACAUUAUAUCCCAUGCCAUGGAUCCAUAAACAAUAAUAAUGACAAUAUCAAUAUUGAGAACCGAAUUAAUAAUAAUAUUCUUAGGUAAAGUCCAUGACAAGCUGGGACCCUCCAUAUGUCAAGCCCGCGUUCUAGCCCGUUGGAGUAUCUGAAAAGAUGGAAAAUAGGAGAGUGAGAUAGAGAGGCUUAGUGGGAGACAUUUUACAAUAGAUCAAUUCAAUAUUUGAACAUGCAUGUCAAUCAUUAUAAUCAAAUUCACAUAAUAACCUUAACAAUAUGAUAAUUCAGUUUCUGUCACUCUAGACAAGCAGACAUUAACACUCAAUCGAAUUCAAUUGAACAAUUCUACUAGAGAGUCAUAAUAUCAUUCACAGUGGGUAUAUGCACAUUUAUCAGUUCAGUCAUUUCAUCAGGUGCCUUUCAAUGAUGAUGCAUAUUAUGCAAUGCAACAUUCGUUUAACAUUUCUUUUAACAUUCAUUAAUCUCACCCCUGAUCACUAGCUCUCCAAACAGGGAGUUCCCUAGAACCCUUUCUACCUUUUUACUCAUCUCGUGGACUUUUACCACUACAUUCUUUUGGGUGUAGACAAAAGUUGUCGUUCGGCUGAAGAUCCACAACUACUCCCAGAUAAAAGUUUCUAGAGGGAUCGUGGAUGGCCAGUAAAUAAAGUCAUAGUUGGAAUCUACUAAGACUUUGAAUCCGUAGCGAACAUUCAUUUAUGCAGUAUGGACUAUCGUUCUUCCACCUUUCAUAACAUCCCCCAUGCAUAUGCAAUAUAAUUAGAUCUUUCAGUUUGAUCAUUCAACAUUCUACCUCAUAGCAUAAAUACGGCAAUAAAUAUAUCAACCAUUGAGGCAUAAGAAACAUUUAUUUGGCAUGUAUAACAGUUUGUAAAUAUAUAUAAUCAUUCACAAAUUUAAACAAACAUUCCUAAGAAAUUAUAUUCUAUUGGUAACCAUAAAAUCAUUCACGAAUUUAUGGCAUCAACCAUAAAUAUUUAAAUCAUAAAUUCAUUCAUUCAUGUGUUUAUCCAUUCUAUUCCUAGUCCGGGACCUAAUUGUAAAAUCUAGUUCUCUAGAUGCCAUUAAAAACCUAAUCAAGGGCUGAGUUUUAAAAAAUAAAUAUAGAUAAAGAAAAGCUGUAAUUUUUAGGUUUCAGGGGCCACACUUUAUGUGACCAACCCGUGUAUGAAGCCCCAAGCCCUAUGAGAUGCGUAAAGGUGAAGGUGUAGGAAUAGGCCGCGUACGAUGUAAAGGGGGUGAGUUGUAGGAGCCACAUGGCCGUGUGACCAGGCUGUGUGCAAGUCUCCAAGCCAUGUACAAAGCAUGAAUGCAAGGGAAAGCAAGGGAACAUAGCCUUGUGAGGGACCGUGUAACCUACAUGGGUGGGCCACAAGCCCCUGUGGUAGACUGUGUAUACCUGGCAGUUUUGAAUUUUGACCCGAUUUUUCAUAAAAUGUCACCCACCUUACUUUUUCGGGAUCUCAAGCAACUACCCCACGUUCAAGCUCAAUCCAAACACCUACAAUGGCCUUUCAAUUGGCAAAACGAGAUUAUCAAUAAGGGGUUUUCAAGAUUUGAGGGAGUUUUGACAAAAACUUUAAAGAUUCAAUAACAUAUUGAAAUAUCUGUUAAAGUUUGUUGUUACCCAAGAUUGGAAGGUCCUAAUUGGUAGGGAACAAGAUACUUACUAAUUUUUUUACAAGGAUUUGACAAGUAAGUACUGCAAACUUCAAUGAUUUUGAUGAAGACGCUAGAUUAGGGCUUGAUUGCAAGGAUUCAAGAAUUCAAAGAUUCUUUUUCCAGCUGUAAGGUUUUGAGAACAAAAUUGUAAGAGAGAGUUUUUUGAGAUUAUGAAGUAGAGGUCAGGUUUUUAAUUUGCUAAAAUAACAAAUGGGAAUUUUAGUUAAUUAGGAAGAGACUUUUAAAAAAUUGGGUUGAGCAAGAGUUUGAGGUCUAAUGGGCAAAUAGCCUAGUUGUAUUAUUUGGGAUGUUACAACUCUUAGUUCUCUAUACUUUCUACCAAGCUAUUAACCACUAGGCUAGGAUUUAAUUCUUAAUAAGUACUAAAAAUCUAACAUUAUUAUUUGUGAUGUUACAACUCUCCCCUCCUUAAAGGAAUUUCAUCCUUGAAAUUUUACCUGUUUUGAAUAAGUAAGGAUACUGUUGAUGAAAUGAAUCCUUUGUUUCCCACAUAACUUCCUCAACUCCAUGGUUUCGCCACAACACUUUCGCUAAAGGAAUUUGCUUCAUUCUCAGAACUUUCACAUCUUUUUCAUGAAUUCUAACGAGUUUUUCUUCAAAGGAAAAAUCAUAUUGUACCUCAAUUUCUUCAAUAGGCACAAUAUGCAAUUGAUCAAAACGAUAACGUUUUAGCAUGGAAACAUGGAAGAUGUCAUGGAUACAAUCCAAUUCAGGUGGUAACUCAAGUUGAUAAGCCACAGGACCAAUUUUUUUAAGGAUUUGGUGUGGUCCUAUGAAGUAAGGACAGAGUUUCCCUUUUUGACCAAACCUUAACACCUUUCUCUAUGGUGAUACUUUUAGAAAGACUUGAUCUCCCACAUUGCACUCAAUAUCUUUUCUUUUAAGGUCUGCAUAACAUUUUUGUUUAUUGGAAGUUGCUUAAAACCUCUCCUAUAUCAGCUUUAUUCUUCCUUUGGACUCUUGAACUAAUUCGAGACAUAGAAAUUUUCUUUCUCCCAGUUCAAUCCAACUCAAAAGGGUUCUACACUUUUGUCCUUACAAGGCUUCAUAUGGAGCCAUUUGGAUGCUUGCUUGAAAACUGUUGUUAUACGAAAAUUCAGCUAAGGGUAAAUGAUCUUCCCAACUGCCUCGGAAAUCAAUAAUAAAUUCUCUCAACAUGUCUUCUAGAAUUUGGAUUACCUACUCGAUUUGACCGUUAGACUGCGGAUGAAAAGCAGUGCUAAAAUAUAAACGUGUUCUCAAUGAAUCUUGUAGUUUUUUCUAGAAUUGAGAUGUAAAACGGGGAUUUUGAUCUGAAAAAUAGACAAGGGUACUCCAUGCAAUCUGAUUAUUUUGGAGAUGUACAACUUUGCUAACCUCUGUAGGGAAUAAUUUUUGCGUACUGGUAAGAAGUGAGCUAACUUAGUUAACCAAUCCACUAUAACAUAAAUUGAAUCUUUCGUAGUCAAUGUUAACGGUAACCCACUAAAAAAGUCCAUCGUUAUGUGCUCCCACUUCCAUUGUGGAAUUUUAAUAGGUUGCAAUAGCCUAGAAGGAAACUGAUGCUCCAUUUCCACUUGCUGACAAGUCAAACACUUAACUACAAAGUCUAUUAUAUCUCAUUUCAAACCUGGCCACUAGUAUAACUCCUUGAUGUCUUAAUACAUCUUUGUUCCUCCGAGAUGCAUGUCAUAAGGGCUAGCAUGCGCUUCUGGAAGCAUGGUUUGUCUUAAUUAUUCAUCUUUGAGCACACAAAACCUUCAUCGGAAACACAAUACUCCAUUAUCAUUCAAUGUGAAAUCUUUGAUUUUACUCUCUUCUAUCUGCUUAAUAUGGGGUAACAAGGUUAUGUCUAAAGGUUUACCUUGCAACUCGACUAACACACUUCCAUUGUCAUGCAAACUUAACCUUGCUAAUAUUGCUCUUAAUUCAGUCAUCGACUUUCAGCUAAAGGCAUCUACCAUAACAUUAGCUUUCCCUAAAUGGUAAUCAAUCACACAAUCAUAAUCUUUCAACAACUCUAACUAUCUCCUUGUAUAAGGUUCAAUUCGUUUUAGGUAAGGAGGUAUUUAAGGCUUUUAUAAUCAGUAUAGAUGUAACACUUGUCCCCAUACAAGUAAUGUCUCCAUAUUUUUAGGGCCAAAACUACUACGACCAAUUUUAGAUCAUGAGUUGGAUAAUUGCAUUCAUGAGUUUUCAAUUGUCUUGAUGCAUAGGUGGUAUCUUACCAUCUUGAAUUAACACACAACCAAGGCCUAUGUAGGACGCAUCACUGUACAUCUCAUAUUCUUUCCCAAAUUCAGGUUGAAUUAACACGGGUGCUUGAGUUAAAACAAUUUUGAGCUUUUUGAAACUAGUGUGCUAUUCUUCUGUCCACUUAAAAGGAACAUCAUUUCUAAGUAGUUUAGUGAGAAGGGCAGCUAUUACGGAGAAUCAUUCAACAAAUCUGCGAUAAUACCUUGUUAAGCCCAAAAAAUUAUGGAUUUUUAAAACAUUUUUUGGUUGUUUCCAUUCAAGGAUUGUUUUCACUUUCUUGGGAUCUACUCAGAUACCCUUGGUGGAUACCACAUGUCCCAAAAACAUAACUUCUUUAAGCCAAAAUUCACAUUUACUCAACUUGGCAUAAAGUUUCUUUUCACGAAGAUUUGUAAGACUUUCCUAAGGUGUUUAUUAUAUUCAAGUUUGAUUUUAGAAUAAACUAAGAUGUCAUCAAUGACUACCAUAACAAAUUGAUCAAAGAAGGGUUCAAAUUCACAAUUCAUAAGGUCCAUAAAAGUGAAUGGGGUAUUGGUUAAACCAAAUGGCAUUACAAGGAACUCACAGUGCUCGUAACAGGUUCUAAAGGCAGUUUUAGGUACAUUUUCUUCUUUAACUUCUAGAAAUACUUUAGUCUUAGGCCUAUCUUUGAAAACACUGUGGCUCCCCUAAACUGGUCAAACAAGUCAUCUAUUCUAGGUAAAGGAUAUUUGUUUCUUACGGUAAUCAAUGCAAAGUCUAAGGGUUCCAUCUUUCUUUUUCACAAAAAAGAUUGGCGCUCCCUAUGGUGACAUGCUAGGCCUAAUAAACCUGCGAUCCAAAAGUUCCUGAAGUUGGAUUUUCAGUUCAUACAAUUCUUUUGGGGCUAUACAAUAAGGAGCUAUAGAUACGGGAUUGGUUUCAGACAUAAUUUCAAUUUUGAAUUCUACUUCAAGAUCUGGGGGUAUUCUUAGUAAUUAUUAGGGGAAUACAUCAGGAAAGUCUUUAAUAGUUUAAAUACUUUCUAAGGCAUUACUAUUGGUAUUCCCAUUUAAUACAUAGGCUAAGUAAGCUUCACACAUUUUUCAAAUUAACUUUUCGACAACCGUGGCUGCCACAACAUUAGAUAGAUAGCCUCUAUGUUCCCCAAACAUGACAACUUCUUUGCCCUCGAUUGUUCUUAACUUUACUCUCGGUUGUUCUUAACUUUACUCUCUUUGUGGCACAAUCUAAGUUUGCCAACCCAUACCUAGUAUUAAAUUAAACUCCUCAAAAGGUAACUUUAUAAGGUCAGUAAGAAACACCACCCCUGAAACCUCUACCGAACAUCUUUAAUAGAUUUUAUUAGCGGUGACAGAUUGUCCCAAAGGGCUUAACAUAGUUACUGUAGUGGUGGUCACUUCUACCCUAACACUUAGCUUUUCUGACAUUUCACAAUAUACAUAGGAGUGGGUGGAACUUAUAUCACUUAGGGUGAAAUAAGGGGUAGAGUUAACAAUAAAUGUACAUGCUAUAACAUUGGCAUUAUCCUUUUCCUUACGACCUCUUACGGUGUAGACUAAGGUAGGUUGUCUAGCCUCAGUUUAGUUGGCACUGGCAUUGUUAUUUCAGUUCUGGCCUUAGCCCCUCGGAGGUGGUUGGGUCAGCUUCUGGUUUUCUGUCUGAUUUUGAGCUAGAGCUUGGUUUAGACCUGUACGUUGCGAACAAUUUCUAAUAAGGUGGUCCAUCGAACCACAGACAUAAUAGAUACCUUUCUUUUUCCAAUACUCACCGGGGCUUACCACAGUAAUCAUAUUUGGGUUUUUCAUUUUUAUCAUUCACCUCAGCUCCCUUUUGUUGUGGUUUAAUUUCUCUAGUCCGUUUAAUAAGACGGAUGUCCGAACCAAAGUUACCCGAAUAUCUUUUAACUAAACUUCAACUUUUCGCUCAUUCAAUAUGAGUUGUCUAUUUAAUCUUCUUAGCAAUUUUGGCUUUCUCCACCAGACUUUUAGAUACCCUUUCCUAAUGAGUGGCAACAUGUAUACUAAUAUCACUUUGCAACCCAUUUUCAAAUUGCACACUUUUAACCUGUUCAGUGGUUAUCAUUUUCUGGGCAUAACGACUAAGUUUCAAAAAUUCAGCCACAUAUUCAGCUAUUAACUUAUCAUCCUGUUUCAGUUCAAGAAAUUCAAGUCUGCGAGCCUCCACAUAUCUUGCACCCACAAAAUUUCUUUAAAAAUUUUCCAAAAAAUAUUUCCAUUUGAUACGUUCAACCUAAGUACCUUUUUCAACAGCCUGCCACCAAUGAUAGACCUUUUCCCUUAAUAAGGACAUUGUACCUUUUAGUUUCUGCUCUGGGGUACAUUCUAGAUAUCAACCUUGUCGUAAUCUGACAUUGAGGCCAUGUUCCACCACUAGAUCUCCCAUGCCCUUGACCACGAAGCCUAGUUACUUUAUUGGACCGAAAUGCCUGAGGCGGUGGUUGUCCAACAAAUGUAAGAAUGGCUAUAGUAGACGGAGAAGCAAAUGAUAACGAUUUGUUCUCCAUCACAAGAGUGGCUGAAAACGUGGCCUGAGAUAGAUGUACUUGUUGACGGGCUCCAGCAUCCAACCGCGUCAUCGUUAUGCCUUGUAAAUUGAAUGGCACUUGACUCGUCGUUAUUAUAGAAAUGACAUAGACAUAUUCUGGAGGAAAGCCAUUAAGAAUGGUUGAUUGAUACUCCUCUAGAGAGAUAUGCUGAUCACACCCAUCCAUUGAAUCACAAAGGUGUUUAAUUUUAGCCAAAUAGGCUGACAUCGAAAGCUUAUUCUUUUUAAAAUUAUGCAGCAAAAAACGAUACCUCAUGGCUUUAGUAGCGGAUUGAGUUCCAAAAAUGUGCAUGAGAGCACCCCCAAAGUUCAAACGCAGAAGAUGAAUCCCAGUCAACUAAUUAUGCAGCGAAGCACUUCCUGUGGAAAGAAGCCAAGCAAACAACGUUGAAUCUUGUUGUUCAUACUGUGCAUACGCUAGGUUUUCAACAGUAAGACCACUGGCCCCAAUAACUUCUUUUGAGGGUAUAUGAACUGUUCCAUCAGCAAAAGAAUGUAAUUUGUGAGUUUUGAUUACCAGUAAAACAUACUACUUCCAAGCCAAGAAGGUACUGUUAUCAAUAAGCACUGCUACUUUAUGUGAAGCAAAAUCAAAUGGAAUGAAAAAUUUCUUGAUUGUUGAUUCUUUCAAAGGUCGCAGCAUCCAUAGCUAACAGUAAUGCUCUGUAAUGCUAAUCUGACGACAGAGACGAGUUAGGGGUGUUACACCAAUGGUUUUAAAAUCACAAGGCCAAAAUAUCAGAAAUUAAACACAUAACACUUACCGAUUAUCCGUGCACUAUCACUGCAUGUUAGCAUCUUUUACAAAAUACUAUCACUUUCAUAUAACAUAUAUAUCAUGUAUACAUUUGCACUUUUCACAACAGAUACCAUAUCCACAUAUCACAUACUUGAGCUUCUUAUCACCAUGCACAAUUUCAUAAUCAUAUAAGCACAAAUCCACAAAACAAAUAUAGAUACAAGAAAACUUAUGCUCAGAAUUUAGAAUAGAGAUUUAGGCUACUACUAAAUUCUCCAAUAACACUUGACUCGUGUUUAUGAAUAGUGAUUCCAAACACUCACCCCCAUGCUUUUGCUGAGAAGUCAAAAGCUCAACUAGCUUUUCCUUUAACUUGUAGAAGGCUCCAAUGAAUCCGAGGCUUAACACACAAUAACCGUACAAAGUUCACAACCAGAUUGUAGCUAAGGACUCACUUAAACCGACUAAAGCAUCAACCUAUUCUAAGUUCUCAUGUAACCAAAAUUUAACAUAACAAACUUAGAAUGCUCGUAACUCGGUCUACACUUAACCUUUUUGCCUAAAAUGAAUUAUGUUCAUCUGAUUAGUCAUCUGCUUCAAAUCCUCAACUCUUAAACCACUAAAAACUACCCAAUUCAUAUUAUCAUAAUUUUUCGACAUAUUUUUGGCAAUCUUCACAAAAUUCAUUAAAACGUAAGUAAUUAUCAACGAAACUUCAAGGUGAUUUUAAAAACCUUCUAAUCAUGAUAAAAUGAGUUGAAAAAGACUUCAAAAUCACGUUUUAACUCAAAAUUAAAAAAGGGCAAAACUAGCAGUAAUUAUCACAACUCACUAUACGUAUUCAUCACAAUUAAAAAAGAAACAAAUGGGAUAGGAAGGCUUACUUUCGAAACUUAUGAUAGCGGUUUAGGCUACUCCUAAGCUCUCGUUUAACACUAUGAAUUGUGCCUACAAGCAGUGAUUCCAAAACACUCAUCGUUCACAUUUUCACUUGAAAAUCGCAAGCUCAAACUAGUUUUUGCUCACCUUUCGCCUUACUCAAAAAGGGCCCCAACAGUUCCAAAGCUUUAGAUAUAUAACCACACAACAUAUACAAGCAAUUAGCAGCCAAAAAACGUCUUAAUUCAAACCAAAAUGUAGGUUCAAAACUAGCUUUUCUAAAAACUAGAAUUUUCUACUAGAUUCACUAAAAAUCAAAUAGGGUUUGUCCUAUUUUGAUUACUCUAACUUUUUUCUCAAUUUAGUCACUUUAAAUAAAAUAAUUGUGUGACUUAGUUACUAACUGCCUCUCGACGUACCAACACCAGAGGUGUGAAUACUGCUAUUAAGGAUAGGAAUUAAGGCGGUGUCCACAAGUAUAUGGGUUAGGUUGUAAUAUAGUUUACAACAAAGUAUGAAAGUAUCCGAGAAUCGUACCCUAGGGAGGUGAGACUAAACUAAUAUUAAUUUCUACGUUGAUGGGUCAAGUUAGUAAUUAAAUUAAAUUAUAUUACAAUAUAUCCUAAGGUGAUGAGAAAAUAUCUUUUAUAAAAAUAAGAUAAUUAAGAAUUGGAAUAGAGUGCAGAUUCUAUCAAUUCUAAUGAUGGAAGACUAACUCGUUUUAGUGUUCAUAAUUAUCUUCUACUUAGGGUUCUCCACAAGGCCUCUCUGUCUUCCACUAACCUAAUGUGUCGGCAAAAACUACUUAUCUCUCGAUGCCACAGUCCAGACCGAACGGGGGUAAGGUUUUAACGAAUAGGUAAUACUGAUUUUGGGUUCAUUCCCACCUAUAUGACUUAUUAAAGUCAUCAAGCCUAGGGUUUUAAGUUCUUCCUAUCCCCGACCAACUGGUUUGCUAAGAAUCUCUAAAUAGAAGUUAAUGAAUCCCACAUCCACUCGUUAAUCUUCCUUACCGGAUUAGUUCCCCAUGGAUUUAACACAUGCAAAGAAAUUGAUAGUAAAAUAUAAACAUUAUAAAAGAAAUCAAGAGUAGAGAUGAGAAAAAUCCUGAUAAUUUAAUAACAGAAGCACGAACUAAUGAAAACUUAAUGAAAAACUAAACUGAAUACAAAGCUAAAUAAAAACUAUUCAUGAAGUGUUUAGAUCCUUCUAUUUAUAGGCCUAGGGUUGGUCAUCAAUCAUUGACCUAAUUCGGCUGACGUUUUGCAUUGAAGUUUGUUGUGUGAGCACCCUUGGUUAAUUAAUUCCUCAUGUCAUGUCGGUGUCGCGACACCCACUGGCCUGUGUCGCGACACUAAUGGUAGUUUACGAGUUAGGGCUUGAUUUUAGGAUUGUGUCCCGACACCCUCUUGCUAUGUUGCAAAAGCUUACGAAAUUGAUGAACUAUAAGGAAAGGCUUGGUACUCCAAUUAAAGAACAUAUACUUUUGUUUAUGAAUCUUUGCAUAAGUGGAGGACAAUGGGCAGGUUUGGAUCAUAACACUUAGACAGAGAUGGUGCUCAAAUAUCUAAUAUUAUUAUUUUUAUUAUAUUAUUAAAAAUUCCACGUGUCAACUACCAAUUUGCUAAAGGGUUUUUUUGUAACAGUGAUAAUGGUAUGGGCCCAUAAUGGUUACAAAAUUAUAAUUUCAGUACUGGAUUUGACAAAAAAAUGUAUCUAACUAAAAGAAGUGUUAUAGUUUGAGGGUUGUGCAUUGAACUAAGCCUUUUAUAUAGUAGUGAUAUAAAUAUCUUCUUCUUUUUUUGUACAACGAUUAUUUUCCCUAGCCUAGUCCUAGGAAAGGUGAACAACUAGAUCAAUAGGUUACAAUUUAAAGUUUAGUGACAUAAUUAUCUUUAAUUGCAUUUGGUAUCAUAUACUCAUAUUGAUUUUUAUGACAUUUCAAGUUAACUUGUGACAUGAACUAAGCAAAAAGCUUUAAUAUAGUAUAAAUACUAAAUAAUUGUAUAUUGGGAUACUCGUUCUAUUUAGAUAUUUGAUGUCUACAAAGCGUUAUUGUGGCUUUGUGUUCAAAGGUUAGAUAAUAUUGUGAUUGAAUCUGAUUGUCAAAGUGUGAUCAAUGCUUUAAAUCUUCCAAGUAUUGAUGUGUGAAAAGUCGCAGCAUCCAUAACUAACGGAGCAAUUAGAAGGGAAAAAAAGAAAAGAGCCUACUUUGAUACCAUAUUAGAGAUAUGAAAUAUGAGGAAAUUCGUUAAUCUGACUUAACAAAUACAAUCAGAUAUCCAAUACUUGUACACUAGAAAUGUAUCGCUAAUAGAAUAAAAAAAACUACCCUUAACUACUUAACUAGCAAUGAACUGCUCUUAACUAAUUUACAUUACUUAGUUACUGCUGAUGGAAAGCACUUGUGACACUGUUAUCAACAAUGGAUGUCUUGAUUAUGAAAAAAAUCAAAUCUCAAAUUAAUAAUUUAUUAACUAUUGAAUUUGACGAUUAAACCCCAUCAGAAGCGAAUCCAACAAUUCAUUACGGGGAGCCAAAAUAAAAUUUUAAAAAUUAAAGGGAUUAAAAUUUAAAAAAUUGUUAAAAGAAACUUAAAUUAAAUAAUUCAUAACUAAAAGACACUGAAAGAGAUAUUAUGCCGGUAAAGGGUGACCGUCUACCCUUUAAUUAGGCCAUGAACAUCGGUUGACUAACACCGUUGUUUGUUUGGUUUUUUUUUUUAAAUAAUUAGAGAUUUUAGCUUAGUUGGUGUAAGCAGCAAUUAUUUGUCCAUUUAAUAUUAUAUUUUGGUGGGAGGUCAUUAAUUCAUGAAGAUAAAACGGCGAGGACGGUUGCCGUGUCUCAAUACGCGACUUAGUACGUAAGUGCUUACGUUUGUAUCAUAUAUAUUAUUGAAUAUAUCCUAAUAAGUAAUCUAAUCUAGAUACUGAAAAUCUAAUAAUCUUUGUUAAUUAUAUUAUGGUAAAUUCUGCAUCAAUAUUCACCUUCUUUUCCCUUGUUAAUUUUAAAUUUCUUGAAUGAUAAAAUUUUUAUUUAUGGAGUUCAUUAAUAAAUAUUUUUAUAUAAUUGAUGAAUAUUUUAUAUUUGAAAUUUAUUUAAUAUCAUUUAUUUUAUAUUUGUAAAUAUUUAUAUAUAUAUAUUAAAUUUUUUUAAUAUAUCGAUAAAUUUGAAAUGAUAUAUCGAAAUAGAUCGGUACCGUUAUGUACCAGUUCUAGUAGAAAAAUGAUGUGCCCACCAGUGUUGUAAGCUCCCCGACUCGACCUAGAUGCUAGACAGAAUCUAGAAGACAACAUCAGCCAUCGAGAUGGCCUACCAGGGUUAUCGAAGUUUAAAAAACAGCCAUUUUAAAACCUUCGUUUAAUUUCGUAGAAAAAUUCGAUUACAAACCGUUUUAUUAUUCCUCAAAAUCUUAAUUUCAAUUUACUAGCAAAAGAAAUGAUAUCUAUUGGUUUUAAGGAAAACCGGGGCUUCAUGCAUACAAAUUAAUGAUUAUAGCAUAAUAUCUUAAAAUUUUAAAUAAAAUGUCAUGCAAAAUAAAAUCUCAAAUCUAAAACCUAGGUUCGAUGCCAUAGUUCGAAAUAAAGUAGUACAAAAACUAUAAUAAUAGGAUAACCCAAAUAAUAAGUCUUAAUAAAUUGAAAUUUUGAAACCGAGCCGAGACACUCUAAUUUUCACGUAUGCGUUCCUAACCUGGUGGGUUAUCUUUAAGGAUGAAAAUUUAAGGGGGGAGUGAGCUGUAACGCUUAGUGUGAGUUCAAUCACGAGAAAAUUAGUGCAACAGUUAGUAAGAUGCAUUAGAUAAUAUCGCAUAAAAUAUUCACAAUCAGGCAACAAUUCAAAGUAUCGAUUUUUCAAAGCAACCACCAUUAAUAUAUCGGAACUCACAAUAGUAGUUUUCAGAAUAACCAAAUUUUCAUAUUUACCCACAAUGAACAUAUAUAGACACAUAUAUAUAAUAAUAGAUUUUUGUAUGCACAUGUGUUUAAAAUGCCAUAUAGUUUUGGUUUUUAACAAAAUAGAUCCUACCUCACCACUACACACACUAUAAUGGGAGUUAACCAGAACUCCCUUCUCCAACGCAACGGGAUAUGGAUAAACCACUAUUGGUUCGUAGAUAGUAACUUCCAUUUGACUGUGGACACACAGAAAGUCCCCGUAGUUGGAAUCUGCCUUUAGUUGUGGGUUCACAGCAAAAAGUCCUGCAGAUGAAACCUACUUUUUGGCUAUAGUUUAUACAGCAUAAACCUGCAGCUAGAAUCUGCAUUUGGCAAUGGAUACACAGCAAUACCCACAGAUGGAAUUUGCCUUUGGUUGUGGAUGAUACAAAACAAAUAAAUGCAGAUAAAUUGCCAAACUUCUUCCGAUCACAUCAUCUCAUCCCAUGCAAUGCAAUGCGGCAAUAUUUAAUAUAGAUCAAGUAUGAUAGCAAUUAAUGUACUAAUACAUGACCAAUCAGUAGCAAAAUCAUGCUUUCAUGUGUUCAGAUUAAUAGUAACAUAAGUCAUGUCGUUCAUACGAUCACAAGUAUAGAUACAAUAUUAACAUAUACUAUUCAUAAUUUAUGCAAAUAUACAUAUACAAAUAAACACUGCAUUAAUUCGAUCGAUCAUGGUUUCUAACAUAUUUCAUAUCCUCAGGGAUCCAAUUGCAUAAUUCAAACACUAAAAAUAGUUCAGAACUUAUUCAGGGAUACAUCUGAUCAAAACAUAGAAUUCUAGGUCAUCCUCGAAAUUUACCUAGUUUGAAUAGAUGAGGAUACUGUUGGCGAAACGUGACUUUUGGUUCCCAUGUAGCCUCCUCUGUCCUAUGGUUCUGUCACAAUACUUUCACAAGAGGAAUUUAUUUCCUUUUCAAAACCUUUACGUCUCAAUGAAGAAUUUGAAUUGGUUCUUCCUCAAAGGACAAAUUCGGUCUCAAUUCGAUCUCCUUAAUUGGAAUAAUAUGGGUAGGAUUGGAUCAGUACCGUCUCAACAUAGAGACAUGGAAAACGUCAUGGAUUCGAUCAAGUUCGGGAGGUAAUUCUAAUUGAUAAGCAGCUGGGUCGAUUCUCUUAAGGAUUCGGUACGGUUUUAUGAAUUUUGGACUUAACUUACCCUUUCGAUCGAACAUGAACACCUUUCACCUUGGGGACACUUUCAGGAAGACUUGAUCGCCGACACUGUAUUCAAUGUCCUUCCUCUUUAAGUCAUAUGUAAUUGCAAUGUAUGAGUUUUCAUCCUACGUAGUUCGUGUGCCAUGUGUGGGGUGAAGUCAUAUUCUUUUCGAUUUAGUCCAGUUGUUUCCGAUUCUUUAUCCAUUGUGCGUGUGUUAUGUGUAUCAUAUAAUAUUGUAUUUGAUCGAACAUAUAUUUAUAUUUAUAUUGUACUUGUGAUUGUAUUGUAUUUAAUAAGUUUGUGAAAUUAACAAUUUAAAAAUAUAUAUUUACCUAUUUCUAUUAUAAUAUUGUAUUUGAUAGAACAUAUAUUUAUACUUAUAUUGCACUCGCGAUUAUAUUGUAUUUAAUGCGUUUGUCAAAUUAACAAGGGGGCUCCCAGUUUUGACAUUCACUUUUUCGAGAUUUUAACUUUUUUUUAAAUAGUUACUGAUGUCUUUUUUUUUACAUAAUACUUAGAACUAUUCAUAAUCUUUGUUCAAUCUAUAACCAGGAAGAUAAUACAUUUUAGCGCACUCGAACACACGUCCUCCUGUUUCGGUAACAAUAUCCAUGCCAAUCUAGUUAAGACUCAAUCGGCAUAUUUUUAAUGUUAUAUUUUGGUAUAAUUAAAACGAGAUUGCGUAUUAAUAUUUAUGAAAAAUGGUUUUUUUUUUUCAUCAUCGAUGUUGCUUUUAUGAUUAAAAUUGAGAGAGAAUAUUGUUCAAAGAAAAAUAAAAAAAAUCAAUGAGGUAGUCAUGAACUUGGGGGGCGAAAAUGGCGUGGAGAUAGGUUGACUUGCCUCAAUAGCUAUCUGCUUGCGCAUGUAUCAUAUUAUUGAAUAUAUAUCUAAUCUAUGUGGUAGCGGUCAGGUUUUCAAAGUUUGGGACAUUUAGACAUGAAAUAUAUUGGGGAGAUUUUACUAUGGGUUGAGAAAAAAAUUAUAUUAGGACCAAAAUUUCUAACAAGUUGCAUGAGUUUGACCAUAUGCUAUAUAGCUUUCGGUUUGUAUGUAUUCUGACUUUUGUUUAUCAUUUUGCAUCACAACAGGUCCAUGCUCUCGGGACUGAUACCGUACGGUACUUUGUACUGAUAGUUUAACUUGGAGCCACAUAUCGAAAGUCCACUUUCAAUAUGGCAUCACACGGAGAUUUAAUUAAUUUUUUUACAACAGUUGAUGAAAUCAACCACUUAUUCUUUUAAACAUUAAAUUUUAGUGCAUAAAUUGAUGAAGAGCCCGGCUCCCAUAUGGAAUCUUGUCCAAUCAAACAGGAGUAUCAUAGCCUAUAAAUAGCAUAUUGAGCCGUAUAAUAAUUCACUUCAAAACAAAAAGAUCUUAAAAACAAACAAGACGUCAGCUAAGAUGAAUAUGGGCAAUGCUAAUGGGGAGCAUGCUAUUGAGGCACUCCAAGCACAAGCUCACAUUUGGAGACAUGCUUUCAACUUCGUAAGCUUCAUGUCUCUAAAAUGUGCACUUGAUUUAGGCAUCCUUGAUAUCAUUCAUGAUCAUGGCAAGCCCAUGACUAUUACGGAGCUGGUUUCUGCGCUACAGAUGCUCAACCCUGCUAAAGCAUGCGACAUUUAUAGGCUCAUGCGCAUUCUAGUUCACUCGGACUUCUUUGCACGCCAAAAGUUAGACAAUGAUGCUCAAGAAGAAGGAUAUGUUCUUACCAACUCUUCUCGUAUUUUGCUCAAGAAUAAUCCCUUCUGCAUAACGCCUACUUUGAAAGCUACAAUGGAUCCUAUUAUAACAAAGCCUUGGAGUUUUCUAGGGACCUGGUUCCAAAAUGAUGAUCAUACUCCAUUUGCUACUGCAUAUGGAAAGACAUUGUGGGACUAUUUUACCCAUGAUCCUCAGCUAAAAGAUUUGAUAAAUGAUGGCUUAGCUAGUGAUUCUCAAUUGGUUACUAGUGUUCUAGUUGACAAGUGUAAAGGGGCAUUUGGGGGAUUGGACUCCCUUGUAGAUGUUGGGGGUGGCACAGGAACUACGGCCAAGGCCAUUGCUGAUACAUUUCCACUCAUGGAGUGCACUGUGUUUGAUCUUCCUAAUAUUGUUGCUGGCUUGCAAGGGAGUAAGAACUUGAAAUAUGUUGGAGGCAACAUGUUUGAGGCAUUUCCAGUAGCAGACGCAAUUUUAUUAAAGGUUAAGCUUUACUAAAUUUAUUCGCAUUAUUUUUUUCUGGUAUUUUUACUUUUAUAAAUAAUGCACAACAAAUUCCAUUACACAUGAUAAUAUUCAAAGAUUUGAAGGCAAAUGUAAUCAUAGUUUGUGGGUUAGCUAAUGUUUUAUGUUUUUUGAGCUAAUUAUGAAUGAUAAUUGAACAGAAGGUAUUGCACGAUUGGAAUGAUGAAGGAUGCUUGACAAUUUUGAAGCGAUGUAAAGAGGCCAUUUCAAGCCAAGACAAGGUAGGAAGAAAGUUGAUCAUAAUUGACAUGGUUGUGAGGGAGAAUGAGCAAGUGAAUGAUGAAGCCUCAAGCUUAACUAAAACACAACUCUUUUUUGACAUGUUCAUGUUGGUAUUGGUGGCUGGAAAAGAGAGGCGGGAAGAAGAAUGGGCUAAACUAUUUUUAGAAGCUGGUUUUAGUUAUUACAAAAUUACAACUAUUGUGGGUUUGACAUCUCUCAUUGAGGUUUACCCCUGAGAGCAUUUGGUUAUUGCAUUAUGAGAAUAAUAAUGUGGAGAAAUACAUAGUUGAAGUGGUAAAAUUGUUCUUUGUUGACAUUAAUUACUAGAGUUGUUUGCUGGGAUUUUAAUUGUGUUGCCUAUUCCUAUAAUAAGAAUUGUUGUUGUGUUGUUGUCAUGGUCCUACUCUUCUAGACCUUUCCUAUUGUUAUUACUCUUAAGGUUUGUACUUGGUUGUUUUGUCCGUAAUUUGUUUUACUUCAGUCCAUGCACAUAUAAUUCUAAUUUUAAUAGUUUGGUGGUUGUUGAUUGUUGAUCAGAGCGCAACGGAAGCAUGAUAUUAGAUUUUUAUUAAAUAUUCCAUGAUUAAUUGUGUGGUGUGAUUGGUCAGUUACUGUGUUUGUGGUGGUUUGAAAUGGAGAGUCAGUUUGGUGACUAAUGUGACGUUCCAAGUUCAGGUCGGACCGUUCCUGCCGAGUUUAGGGUGCCACAUCAAAGCCCUAUUUUAAGAUGUUACAAAUAUGCUUGUCAAAGCAGCUACGAAAGAAAUGUAUCCAACUUGCCAUUGCAAAAUGUAAAUCAAAAGAUCCACUUGUCAUUGCCACUUGUCAAGACAUUUGUUGCAAACAAAAAAAUUAUUGGAUGCAAUUUUAAAUUUCAAAAGACUACAUCUAAACCCUAAACCCUAAACCUUUUUCAUAUUUAAAUCAAAAGCAAAUAACAUAAUCAUUAAUCCAUACUUUCAUUUUUUUUGGUUUUGUUUCUUGAUCAUCAAAAACCAUGAUUGUUUAAACCAGAUUAGAUCGACACAUCCUAGGGUUUCAAGGGGGCAUUGCCGCGUAUGGGGGACGUGUGGUCCACAUGCCCGUGUGGUUGGCCAUAUGGCCCUAUUUUAGGCUUGGUUUUUCCCCGAGUCACUUGCAAAAGGAUACACACCUAUCACCGGUGUCUCAAGCGACGUCCCAUGCCUUAACACAUGCACUUAACUCAAAACAGUUGCUCAUACACAUUUUUCAUGGAUGAAUACUUAUGCAGAAUUGGAUACCAUUAAAUUUGCACUCAGACAUUGUAACACCCCUCACCCAGCCCGACCGCCAGACCCGAGUUACAUGACACUACAACAUUAUCGUAACUUUGCCACUUGCACACAUAGCUUCAAGCAAGAACAAUUUUUAUUAGUUUAAGCAUUUUCAGAUGUGAUUGCGACUAGGCAAACAUCAUACAACAUUCGAAAUAGUUUAAAUACAUGCUUAGGGACCAUAUAGCAAAUUUCCAAAAAAAUAUGUAGGUAUUGAUACACAAUAGUAGGAAUCAAUAUUUUGGGAAGUCAGAUAUCGAUACUAAUAAGAAAAUCAAUACCAUUUUAGCAUUCUGGUUUUUCAACUCAAUUUUGAAUCAAAAUGUUUUAUCGAUACAUAAACAAAGGUAUCAGUAUUUUUACCUUGAGUAUCGAUACUUGUAAAAAAGUAUCGAUACCAAAUUCAGUUACUGUUUUCCUGCACAUAGUAAAAAAGUAUCGAUACCAAAUUCAGUUACUGUUUUCCUGCACAUACAUUUUAAGAUCAAGGUAUUGAUAUUUAUGCCCCGAGUAUCGAUACCCCUAUGCAAAUCAACCAAAUCACAACCACAAUAGAUCCUACCUCACCACUACACACUAUAAUGGGAGUUAACCAGAACUCCUUUCUCCAACACAACGGGAUAUGGAUAAACCACUAUUGGUUCGCAGAUAAUAACUUCCAUUUGACUGUGGACACAAAAAAAGUCCCCGUAGUUGGAAUCUGCCUUUAGUUGUGGGUUCACAGCAAAAAGUCCUGCAGAUGAAACCUGCUUUUUGGCUAUAGUUUAUACAGCAUAAACCUACAACUAGAAUCUGCCUUUGGCUAUGGAUACACAGCAAUACCCGUAGAUGGAAUUUGCCUUUGGUUGUGGAUGCACACAAAAUAGAUGAAUGCAGAUAAACUGCCAAACUUCUUCCGAUCACAUCGUCUCAUCCCAUGCAAUGCAAUGCGCCAUAUUUAAUAUAGAUCAAGUAUGAUAGCAAUUAAUAUAUUUAAUAUAGAUCAAGUAUGAUAGCAAUUAAUGCACUAAUACAUGACAAAUCAGUAGCAAAAUCAUGCUUUUCAUGUAUUCGGAUUAAUAGUAACAUAGGUCACGUCGAUCAUACGAUCACAAGUAUAGAUACAAUAUUAACAUAUAUUAUUCGUAAUUUAUGCAAAUAUACAUAUACAAAUAAACACCGCAUUAAUUCGAUCAAUCAAGGUUUCUAACAUAUUUCAUAUCAUCAGGGACCCAAUUGCAUAAUUUCAAACACUAAAAAUAGUUUAGAACUUAUUUAGGGAUUCAUCUGAUCAAAACAUAGAAUUCUGGGUCAAAAUGGUAAAAUCUUAGUUAUAGGGUACAGACGACUGUGUUAUCGGAUCAUGUCGGAGGCCUUGGGUCGUGUGGAUGGAAUGCACACCGCGUGGCUAGGCCAUAUGGGUCAUGCAAAAUUAAGCAUCAGGGGUGACAAGGUUGUUUGGGAGGUCGUGUAGGGGGUCCUAGGCCAUGUAAAAGGUGAUCAUCCUAGGGUUCAAGGGGGCAUGGCCGCGGAUGGGGGACAUGUGGUCCACAGGCCCUUAUGGUUGGCCAUGUGGCUCUAUUUUAGGCUUGGUUUUGCCCCGAGUCACUUGUAAAAGAACACACACCUGUCGUCGUGUCUCGAGCGACAUCCCUUUCGAUCAAAUCUGGUCUUGGAUACCUAAAUCGAGUCCUUCAAACAACAUUAAUUAAGAAUUAAGAAAUGUUAUCAAGGUCUAUCAAGAUUACCGUGAAUUUCGACAAGAAAUCAUUAAAAAGAUUGAUAAUGGAUGAAAAAUCAGUUUCAAGAUAAUGAUAUUAAGAAUCUUUGAAGUUCCAUUUAUAGAUAAGGUGCUUACCAAUCCUUAGCAAGAUUAGAGAUGAAAUUGAUGACGUUACGCUAAACUGAUAGAAAGGCUAGGUUGAUCGAAGAUUGUUUUCAGGUUCGAGAUGGAAAAUAAUAUUUCACAACAAUGGAGAAAAAUAUUCACAAAUGGAAUAAUGGAGAAGAAAACGGGAGAAUUAAAUAGAGAGAAAAUAAAUAAAAUUUGGUUUGGUUUGAAAAAGGAACAAGAAUACAAAUGUAAUUAGGAAAAGAUAAAUACCCAGAUGUUUCAAAAUAUGAGGGAUUAUUUGGGAAGUAACUCUUCUUGUCGAAAUUAAACAGGGGAAAUGAAAUGGGGUGGUGUUUGGCAUGACUUGAACCUUGAAAACAAGGGAUGGAAUAUAAAGGCUUAACCAUUUGGCUGCUGCUCACUCUUGAAAUGUAUUUGCUCCAUUUAAUAUAUAUUCUAGGGGAUUUUCAUUCUACUUUGCUAAAAAAUUAAAACAAAAAAAUUGGAGAGAGGUGGAUUAAACCGAGAAUCUCUAGGGAGUGUACUAAGCUCUUAACCAUUAAGACUAAGAUUCAUUUCUUAGUUAAUUAUUACUUCUAAACCUAUAUAUUUUGGGGUGUUACAAUUCUCCCCUACUUAAAGAAAUUUCAUCCUCGAAAUUUACCUAGUUCAAAUAAAUGAGGAUACAGUUGGCGGAACAUGGACUUUUGGUUCCCAUGUAGUCUCCUCCGGCCUAUGGUUCCAUCACAAUACUUUAAGAAGAGGAAUUUAUUUCCUUUUCAAAACCUUUACGUCUCAAUGAAAAAUUUGAAUUAGUUCUUCCUCAAAGCACAAAUUUGGUCUCAAUUCGAUCUCCUUAAUUGGAAUAAUAUGGGUAGGAUUGGAUCGGUACCGUCUCAACAUAAAGACAUGGAAAACGUCACGGAUUCGAUCCAGUUCAGGUGGUAGUUCUAAUUGAUAAGCAGCUGGGUUGAUUCUCAUAAGGAUUCGGUAGGGUUUUAUGAAUUUUGGACUUAACUUACCCUUUCGAUCGAACAUGAACACCUUUCACCUUAGGGACACUUUCAGGAAGACUUGAUCGCCAACACUGUAUUCAAUGUCCUUCCUCUUUAAGUCAUAUGUAAUUGCGAUGUAUGAGUCUUCAUCCUACGUAGUUCGUGUGCCAUGUGUGGGGUGAAGUCAUAUUCUUUUCGAUUUAGUCCAAUUGUUUUCGAUUCUUUAUUCGUUGUGCGUGUGUCAUGUGUAUCAUAUAAUAUUGUAUUUGAUCGAACAUAUAUUUAUAUUUAUAUUUAUAUUGUACUUGUGAUUGUAUUGUAUUUAAUAAGUUUGUGAAAUUAACAAUUUAAAAAAAUAUAUAUUUACCUAUUUCUAUUAUAAUAAUGUAUUUGAUAGAACAUAUAUUUAUACUUAUAUUUCACUCGCGAUUAUAUUGUAUUUAAUGCAUUUGUCAAAUUAACAAGGGGGCUCCAAUUUUGCCAUUCACUUUUUCGAGAUUUUAACUUUUUUUAAAUAGUUACUAAUGUCUUUUUUUUUGGUUAUAAUACUUAGAACUAUUCAUAAUCUUUGUUCAAUACAUAAGUUGGAGGAUAAUACAUUUCAGCGCACUUGAACACACGUCCUCCUGUAUGGCCUGGAGAUAGGUUGACUUGCCUCAAUAGCUAUCUGCUUGCGCAUGUAUAGCGGUCAGGUUUUCAAAGUUUGGGACUUCUAGACAUGAAAUAUGUUGGGGAGAUUUUACUAUGGGUUGAGAAAAAAUUAUAUUAGGACCAAAACUUCUAACAUUAUAUUAAUAUUACAAUUUUUAACAGUUUUAAUUAAAAAUGUUGAUAUAAACCUUUUCCUUUUGAAGGGCACAACAAGUUGCAUGAGUUUGACCAUAAGCUAUAUAGCUUUCGGUUUGUAUGUAUUCUGAUUUUUGUUUAUCAUUUUGCAUCACAACAGGUCCAUGCCCUGAGGACUGAUGCCGUACUGUACUUUGUACUGAUAGUUUAGCUUGGAGCCACAUAUCGAAAGUCCACUUUCAAUAUGGCAUCACACGGAGAUUUAAUUAUUUUUUUUACAGCAGUUGAUGAAAUCAACCACUUCUUUUAGUCAUUAAAUGCAUAAAUUGAUUAAGAGGUCGGCUUCGAUAUGGAACCUUGUCCAAUCAAACAGGAGUAUCAUAGCCUAUAAAUAGCAUAUUGAGCCGUAUGCUAAUUCACUUCAAAACAAAAAGAUCUUAAAAACAAACAAGACGUCAGCUAAUAUGAAUAUGGGCAAUGCUAAUAGGGAGGAUGCUAUUGAGGCACUCCAAGCACAAGCUCACAUUUGGAGACAUGCUUUCAACUUCGUAAGCUUCAUGUCUCUAAAAUGUGCACUUGAUUUAGGCAUCCUUGAUAUCAUUCAUGAUCAUGGCAGCCAUGACUAUUACCGAGCUGAGCUGCGCUACAGAUGCUCAACCCUACUAAGGCAUGCGACAUUUAUAGGCUCAUGCGCAUUCUAGUUCACUCGGACUUCUUUGCGCGCCAAAAGCUAGACAAUGAUGCUCAAGAAGAAGGAUAUGUUCUUACCAACUCUUCUCGUAUUUUGCUCAAGAAUAAUCCCUUCUGCGUAACGCCUACUUUGAAGGCUACAAUGGAUCCUAUUAUAACAAAGCCUUGGAGUUUUCUAGGGACCUGGUUCCAAAAUGAUUAUCAUACUCCAUUUGCUACUGCAUAUGGGAAGACAUUGUGGGGCUAUUUUACCCAUGACCCUCAGCUAAAAGAUUUGAUAAAUGAUGGCUUAGCUAGUGAUUCUCAAUUGGUUACUAGUGUUCUAGUUGACAAGUGUAAAGGGGCAUUUGAGGGAUUGAACUCCCUCGUAGAUGUUGGGGGUGGCACAGGAACUACGGCCAAGGCCAUUGCUGAUACAUUUCCACUCAUGGAGUGCACUGUGUUUGAUCUUCCUAAUAUUGUUGCUGGCUUGCAAGGGAGUAAGAACUUGAAAUAUGUUGGAGGCAACAUGUUUGAGGCAUUUCCAACAGGAGACGCAAUUUUAUUAAAGGUUAAGCUUUACUAAAUUUAUUCGCAUUAUUUUUUUCUGGUAUUUUUACUUUUAUAAAUAAUGCACAACAAAUUCCAUUACACAUGAUAAUAUUCAAAGAUUUGAAGGCAAAGGUAAUCAUAGUUUGUGGGUUGGCUAAUGUUUUAUGUUUUUUGAGCUAAUUAUGAAUGAUAAUUGAACAGAAGGUAUUGCACGAUUGGAAUGAUGAAGGAUGCUUGACAAUUUUGAAGCGAUGUAAAGAGGCCAUUUCAAGCCAAGACACGGUAGGAAGAAAGUUGAUCAUAAUUGACAUGGUUGCGAGGGAGAAUAAGCAAGUGAAUGAUGAAGCCUCAAGCUUAACUAAAACACAACUCUUUUUCGACAUGUUGAUGUUGGUAUUGGUGGCUGGAAAAGAGAGGCGGGAAGAAGAAUGGGCUAAACUAUUUUUAGCAGCUGGUUUUAGUUCUUUCAAAAUUACUCCUAUUGUGGGUUUGACAUCUCUCAUUGAGGUUUACCCCUGAGAGCAUUUGGUUAUUGCAUUAUGAGUAUAAUAAGAAUUGCUCUUUGUUGACAUCAUUUACUAGAGUUGUUUGCUGGGAUUUUAACUUUGUUGCCUAUUCCUAUAAUAAGAAUUGUUGUCGUUUUGUUGUCAUGGUCCUACUCUUAUAGACUUGUCUUGUUGUUAUAACUCUUAAGGUUUAUACUUGGUUGUUUUGUCCGUAAUUUGUUUUACUUCAGUCCAUGCACAUAUAAUUCUAAUUUUAAUAGUUUGGUGGUCUUGUUGUUGAUUGUUGAUCAGAUUAGCGCAACGGAAACAUGAUAUUAGAUUUUUAUUAAAUAUUCCAUGAUUAAUUGUGUGGUGUGAUUGGUCGGUUACUGUGUUUGUGGUGGUUUGAAAUGGAUUGUCAGUUUGGUGACUAAUGUGACGUUCCAAGUUCGGGUCAGACCGUUCCUGCCGAUUUUUUCACGGAUGAAUACUUAUGCAGAACUGGGCACCAUUAAAUUCAUACUCAGACAUUGUAACACCCCUCACCCAGCCCGGCCUCUAGACCUGAGUUACAUGACACUACAACAUUAUUGUAACUUUACCACUUGCACACACAGCUUCAAGCAAGAACAAUUUUUAUUUGUUGAAGCAUUUUCAGAGGUGAUUGCGACUAGACAAACAUUAUACGACAUUCGAAAUAGUUUAAAUACAUGCUUAGGGACCAUAUUGAAAAUUUCCAAAAAAAAUAAUGUAGGUAUUGAUACACAAUAGUAGGUAUCAAUAUUUUGGGAAGCCAGGUAUCGAUACUAAUAAGAAAAUUAAUACCAUUCCAACAUUCUGUUUUUUCAACUCAAUUUUGAAUCAAAAUGUUUUAUCUUUAUAUAAACAAAGGUGCCAGUAUUUUUACCUCGACUAUCGAUACUUGUAAAAAAGUAUCGAUACCAAAUUCAGUUACUGUUUUCCUACACAUACAUUUUAAGAUCAAGGUAUUGAUAUUUAUGCCCCGAGUAUCGAUACCCCUAUGCAAAUCAACCAAAUCACAACCACAAUAGAGAAGUAUUCAUGCUAAAACAAAAUAUCUUCCUCACACGCAUUACCCACCACAAUCUCACACAUCGGAAUACCCAGAAAUGAAGUCCAAAACCGUAAAAGAAUGAAUAAAACUAUAAUAGUAAACAACAGAAGUUCUAGAAGUCCAAAAUCACAAUAAACUAACAAAUCAAUAAUAAUAACUAGCCAAGAUUCUACCCAUAUUGCUUUUAUUCCAAAAGUCCAUAAGAAUAAUAUAAUCACCUAAUGAACAAGGAUUUAGUAAGGGUGUAAGCUUAAACAAGCUCAAUGAAUGUAUCAGAAUUUACCACAAGCAUGCAUUUCUGUAACACCCUAUACCUAGCUUGGUGACCAAGCCCAAAUAUGUAAAAGUUUAUUCUAAAUGAAGCGUCUUCCAUUUUAGUAUUCGUAUAGGUUUUAAGUCAAUUAACUUGUUCGUUAUCAAUGUUACAUGCUAACCAUACACCAAAUAGCCUUAUAAUAAUAAUUAAACAUGCAUAAGGUCCAUUUAACAAAAUUUCCAAAACUUGUUCAUAGGUAUCGAUACUAACACUUGGGUAUCGACAUUUUCUUUAGGUGGUAUCGAUGCCAUUUGGAAAAAUGAUACCAAACUUGCAUUUUGUUUCUCGAAUAAAAUCCCAAAGUCUCAAAAAUUAUCGGUACUUGUCAUGAAAUUUCGAUAUUUUGAUCCUGAGUAUCAAUACUAGAGCAAAGGUAUCGAUACUAACUCUCUAAUCUAACUUCCUACAUGUUUCAAAUCAUAGAGGUAUUGAUUUUUAAUCUAGACUAUCAAUACCCCUGCUCUAGACCUAAAAAAUGUAGCAUACAUAUGCAAAAAAUGUAGCAUACCCAAAAAUCGGGGGUUAGUAGAAUCAGGUUUAUGAAUCGAGAGAGAGUGGUCAUGCCUUAACUUUUGAGAUUAUCUAUGUAUUUUUUUAGGAAAUAAAUGAGGUAUUGGUUUAUUGGAUAAGUGUUAGUGAAACCUUCCUUGAAACCCAAGUUCAAAUCCCUUCUCUUUCACUUUUUUUUAUUAUUUUGCAAAUUUUCUCUUAAACCCUAGUAUGUGACAUGCCUUUUUUUUCAAAUAAACAUUGCAAAGUUAUUUCAAGAAUGAAGAAGAAGCCUAAUGGUUAAAAGAAAUAUAAGAAAGCAUGGAAAUUAUAUGAGGUCUCAAGUUUGAAUCCCUUCCCUUACGAAAUAUUUAAUUUUUGGCAAAAAUCCCUUGUUUUUAAUGUGUGUGCCACCCAAGCCUUGUAACCCUAGGUAUAAAUUUUAAUUUUUAGAAAUAAUCAGCCUUUAAUCCCCCUCCUCAUUUCCCUCGUCGUUCAUCUCCUCCUCUCCCUUUCAUUGAUUUUAUUUUUUUCCUUUCCUCCAUUAAUGUCGUCACCUACACCUUACAUUUUAUCAUCUCUUUCUUUUUCUUUUUGCGUCAAGAUUGGGCACCGUCUUCUUUAUUAAAUUGCUUCCAUUUAUCCUCAUCUAAAUCAGCCCAAAAUCUAAAAUCUUAAACCCUAAGAAUGAUCCCGAAUAUUUCUAAGAAAGUGUCAUUGCCGUUUCUUUCAACUAGCUUAGGUAAGAUCUCUUUUCUCUUCAAUUUCUUGAUUAAUAUUGUCAAUUAAAAAACCAAAUUUACAGAUUUAGAAUUUAGGGGAUUUUAAAUUCUUUUAAAGGUAUUUUUCUAUAUUUUAAUGAGAUCUCAAACCGUUUUAAAAUUCAGCCCCAAUUUUGGCCACCAUAAGUGGUGGUGCGUCCACCUAUGUGCAAGAAAGGGGGCUGUUUUGUUUCUUGGGUCUUGCCCAUAUUUUUCCAGCAUUAAAUUGUGUUCUUCAAACCUCCUAAUUAGCCUUUAAUCACAUGCUUAUUAUGGAGAGACGUUCUUGAUGAAUUAGCCAAUCGGAUCCCACAAAUCAUGAAGUGUAAGGGCAAUUAAGGAUAACUAGUUUGUUAUUUCGACAUAGUUGUUGGGUAAAGGUUAUGAAUUGAUUAAAUGAAGGAAUUUAAUCAUCAAUUAUCUAAUUGUUUUCCAGUAUAUUAUUGAAUUAGGUGCUGACCAAAAAUCCCCAAAUCAUUCCUAAAGCCGAAGAACGAUUGUACGUACAGUUCGCAUCGCUACAGUGUAAGGAAUCUAACUAGUUCAGAUCCAUAAAAUAGUUAUAAUUUCAAUGAUUGGUUUGAACUCAUAAGUGGGUGUUUUUGGUAUGGUUUAAUGGUAAAUUUAUUGAAUUUAUACUGAAUUUCAGUUUAGGUUCGUUUAAGGAAUUAUUAAGGAAAAUCGAAAGAUUCGCUAGUGUGCUGCGAGAAAGCGAAAAAUAAGGUGUGGGUCCUAAAAUCAUAAAAUUUUUUGAAAAUGUUAAAUAUCAAGUUAUAUUUGAUAAAUUAGCUUGCUUAUUGGAUUGGAUUAAUAGCCAAAUUAUUAAUUUUUUGAGUGGCCGAACCAGGUAUGUCUUGAGCAUUAAAAGAUUAAUAUGUUGGCAAAAUUGCUAGUUUGAUAGUAUGAAUAUUUGAUUGAGUUUGUAAUUGCAUAUUUGAGUUAUGAGAUAUGAGAAUGUUUGACUGAAUGAUAUAAUGUGUUGAGAUUUUAAGCUUAUUUAUGAUUUAAAUGCAUGAGAUAUUUGUUAUAUUGUGUACUAAAAUCGGUGGUAUUCAUGCACAAUGAAAAUUCGUAAAGUAUGUGAAAUUGAACGAUAUUGAUUGAUACCAACGCAAUGGUAAUUUGAAUGAAUAGAACACUGUUUCCAUUUAUUGAAAGUAUGUGAUUAUUGAGGACAUGUUGAGCAUGUCAAAUGAAUGGGAAAAGUAAUGAGAUAUGAUUGCGUGUGAGACUGUGUAACAUUGCAUAUGCAUUAGGUUGGGAUUUUGCUGUUGACAAAGGAGUUCCGUGGAGUACCGCCGACAUAUUAAGUCCGCAUGAUUCGUAGUCAGUCCAUUGUACCUGGAGUACCGAAAGGAAUGGCAAUUUAUCACAUUUUUACUGGCAACUUGUCUGCAUUUUUACUGGAAGAAUUUUCUACAUAUUAUUAUUGGUAGUUUUAACCAAAAUGUUUUGGAGUUUAGAUGGCGGGUUCUGGAGAACUCGUGGGGUGUAGCUGAUGGUAUGGGUAGGAACCUUUUUGCAUUGCAUCAUGUGCACGACAUAUUCGAGUGUUAUUGAUUUAUGCUACGUAUUGUAUUUUGUUGUAUUGAAAGGUAUUGUAAUUAAUGAUUGUUACUCGAAUGAAUGAUAACCUAUGCUCAUACACCGUUUGACAUCAAUUUGAUAAUGGCUAUGUAAUGAUAUGAAAUUCCUAUGAUGGUUUUGUUUUCUUCUCUUAGAGCUAACCUAUUUCACUCUAUUUGAUAUUUAUAUUUGUUUAAAUAAUUGUUCGACUCACACUAAGCUUUUCAUAAGCUCACCCCCAAUAUAGCCUAGCCAUUUCAGUGGCUAAUAUAGUUUAGCCAUUUUGGUGGCUAAUGUAGCCUUCUCAAUCUACCCAUAAUGUCUAGGCCAAGUUUGGGAACAAUCCAUUUCAAUUUAGUUUCUAAACAUCAUUAUUCUAAAACAUAGACAAUUAAUUAUCCAACAACUAAAUUCAACAGUUCAAAAAACGUGUCCGAGCUAGAAGUACCAUGCCAUCAUCGAUGUUUAUAAACCUAAGCAUAACCAUAACUCUUAAACCUUAUAAACAAAAGCAAUAACCAACAAAAUAUUUAGAAAUUAACAUGUCAAUGACCAAGACUACCACAUUUCCCUUUCCCGAAAACGUAAUUAAAUAAAGAACACCUACAAAAUAACACAAAACUGGCUCGGUUCACCUUUUGAAAACCACACCAUUCACGCUAGCACACAACUAAUCUGCAAUGGGUAAAGAAGGGAGUGACUGAGAUUAACAAACUCAAUGAAUGACUAGAAUAACCACAUCGCACACAUAUCAUUAUGCAUCCUCAAGACAACCAUAUAUAAGCACAAUUACAAUAGUCCUAUAUCUAGUGUAGUAGAGUACCUAUCCAUGCAUUAUCAACUGGUUCAUCUACACAAUAUUUACAUACUCAUACAACAUAUAUCAUGUAACGCACAUAUUUAGUCAAGCGUAUAUCACAAUUCACACAAGUCACAUAUAACGAAAAGUUAGCAAUAUAGCACAUACUCCAUUAAGCAUAAAACAUGUUCCAUACAAUUACAUAUAAUAUGAUAGAUUGACACUUGAGUUACAAAAGAUAUAAUGAGCUCUAUCAUCAUAGAUUGGAUAGACGGAUCUCUGAUCACACCAAAUGACUCGUAGAGUCAGACAUGUCCCAAAAGUGAAGCAUAUAACUAGCACUCUCCUUGUUUCCCCCCACAUGUCCCGUUGCAUAGACCUUAACUCACAUCCCCUUAUCCCUCGAAACAUGUCACAGGGCCUCAACGCUUAAAAUCACUAUACAUAUAAGUGAGUACUCACAAUCUUAUGGCAUGCCAACCAUAUCCAAUUGUAACAGUCUGUUUUCAGUGGUGUCGAAAAUAGUCAUUUCGAGACAAUAAUUUUGAUGAGUGAUUUAUUUAUUUUAAUAUUUAUUUAAUGUCUACAGGAUUAUAUUAAGGUCAUAUUAAUAUUUCGUUAAGAAAUUUUGUUGUUUAAGUAGUUAAUUAAGUAAAAAGGACUAAAUCGUGAAAGUUGUAAAAGUUUAUUUCUAUUAGUUAAAAGGGUCAAAUGGCUAUGAAAUUUUAAAAUAAUGGACUAAGAUAGUAAUUAUAUCAUUUAAUGAGUUAGUGUAUGUAUAUGGACAAGGUUUUAUUAAAAAUUUGUAUUAUUAUUAAGCGUAAAAAGGUAAAUUAGUAAACAAACUUAAAAUAAACUAAGAAAAAGAUAUCAUCUUCCCCAUUUCUUUUUUGCUUUGGCUGAAUACACCAUUGAAGGGGGGAGAGCUUCGGUUUUGAAUUCUUCAUUUCAUGGUAUGAUUUUGUACCCGAUUUUUAUUAAUUUUUAUGUUUUUGAGUUCAUUUUAGCUUAAUCUAGCUAGCCUGGGGGUUAAUUUGCAAAAAUGUUAAAGGUUGAAGGACUUUCCAUGGAUGUUUUUAAAUAGGUUUUGAAGUUAUUUGAUAGAUUAUUCAUUUUGGUUGUGAAAUAAACAUGUUUUGUUAAGUGAUUUUUGGUGAAAUUGCAAUUAGGGAUUAAAUUGUUAAAGUGUAAAUCUAUGGGCUUUAUUGGAAAUUGUUAAAUAUGAACCAUGGAAUAAAUUGAAUACUAGAAGUACUUAAUUGAAUAAAAUUUUUAUUUAUAUCAAGAUAAACCACAAUCGGACGUAAAUCGAGAAAAAGCUGAAGAUUCGCAUUAGUUCGACUCUACUACUAUGACCAUAGUUAUCGAGGUAAGUUCGUAUGAACUAUAAUCGUUUUAAUGUUAGCUAAAUUGAUUAUAUGCUAUGUUGUUUUAAUAUAAAUGAAUUUGAAUAUAAGUGUAUCAAUGCUAUGAUGAAUUGACGGAUAACGAGUCACGUUUGAACCUUAAGAAUUCUUAGGAUACAAAUGACAUGUCAUUUGGGAUUUGAUGUUUCGAGUGCUAGUCUUGAAUGUCCUACUGAUGACUAAGGUCUUGCAUUUGUUGUAGAUUCUCCAUAGCUCAUGUGAGCAGCAUCGUGUAGCUUACAGUCUAACCCUUAGCUCGUGUGAGCAGGCCAAUUUCACGGCUCGUAUGAGUAUUGAUGUAAAGGAAAGUUUAUGGUUAUAUGGAAAAACACACUAUGUGUGAGCAUUCUUGGGUAUCCGAUGUAAUUCUAGAUGGUUCAACAGGUAAAAAAAGGAAAUGAAAUGGUAAGUAUGCAAAUGGAAUAAAUCAUGAUCUUAUGAAAAGGUUGAUGAAUUAAAUGAUGUAUUUGUAUAUGGAAAUCAACUUAUCUUAUGGUUGAAUUCAUUUGUAUCACGGAUAAGUGCACUAACUUGUGAGUUUGAUGAUGUUGUAUAGGCUUAUACUAAGCUUAUGGCAUUGGUAAUGAUUUAUGCUUAAUCUAUGAAUUGUAUUAAUGAAAUGGUAAGUUAUGUUUAAGUUUAUACGAUCUUACUAAGCACUCGUUGCUUACGUAGUUAUUUUCCUUUCUUUUAUAGAUAUUCGGAAACUUAAUUGAUUGGAAGCUCGUCGGAGACCUAUCACACUAUCCAGCAACCAUUUCGGUAGUUUUUGAGUAUUUUGGCCAAGGUUAAAAAUGGCACGUAUAGGAUCUUUUGUGAUGGUAGUCUGUGAAUGUGUUAAUGAUGAUUUGGUUUGUUUAUGCUUUGAAGUUUAUGUUUGGUUUGGUGAACCUUAACACCUCACUGAGUUAUGUCAUUUUGGUCACUUUUAAGUGCUUGUAUAUGAGGUCAUUUUGGUAUGUUUGUGAUGACUUGUAAAUGGUCAUUGUGGUAUCAUGAGGUAGAUAAUUGAACUAGGUUUUUAUGCUUGAAAUAUGACAAUGUUGACUUAUUUUGGUAAAUGAUGUUUUGGUAUAAUUGUGGUGCCUUUGAAUGACAUAUUGGUUAGAUGAAUUAAGGUGUUUGAAAUGGCAUGUUUAUAUGUGUUUGAAUGAUGUUUAAAUCCCUUGAUUAUGUGUCCAAUUGGUAUGAAUGGUUAGGUAUGAAUUGGACUUAAAAUGGUUUGAUUUUAGGUUAAUUAUGAAAAUUCUUAGUGUUUCAAUUCAGUGAGUUACACGGCCUGGCACACGACUGUGUGUGGCAACUCAGAGAGUUACACAGCUUGCGACACGGCCGUGUGACCCUACUUAGUGAGUUACAUGGGUGAGGACACAAGAUGGGACACGGCCGUGUGCCCCUUUGUUCGAUUGUUACACAACCUAUCACACGACCGAUUGACCCCCAUUUUUUCCAAUUGUUUCAACUUUUUCUUAAAAAUUCUGUUUUGUUUCAAUUUAGUCUCGAAUUACUUUUAAGCUAUUUUUAGUGCCUCGAAAGAUCGAUUUAGGGACAAAAUUCAUAUGAUUGAUUGGUUUAUAAUAAGUUUAAUUUCUUUAAUGUUAUGAUGAUAAAUGUUUUUCGAUUGACUGGUAAUGCUCUGUAAUGCUAAUUCGGUGACGGGUACGAGUUAGGGGUGUUACAACAAUGGUUUCAAAAUCACAAGGCCAAAAUAUCCGAAAUCAAACACAUAACACUGAUCGAUUAUCUGUGCACUAUCACUACAUGUUAGCAUCUUUUAGAAAAUACUAUCACUUUCAUAUAAUGUGUAUAUCAUGUAUACAUUUGCACUUUUCACAACAAAUACCAUAUCCACAUAUCACAUACUUGAGCUUCUCAACACCAUGCACAAUUUCAUAAUCAUAUAAGCACAAAUCCAUAAAAAAAAUAUAGAUACAAGAAAAUUUACGCUCAGAAUUUAGAAUAGGGGUACAGGCUACUACUAAAUUCUCCAAUAACACCUGACUCGUGUUUGCGAGCAGUGAUUCCAAACACUCACCCCUAUGCUUUCACCGAGAAGUCAAAAGCUCAACUAGCUCUUCCUUUAACCUGUAGAAGGCUCCAAUGAAUCCGAGGCUUAACACACAAUAACCAUACAAAAUUCACAACCAGAUUGUAGCCAAGGACUCACUUAAACCAACUAAAACAUCAACCUAUUCUAAGUUCUCGUGUAACCAAAAUUUAACAUAAAAAAACUUAGAAUGCUCAUAACUCGGUCUACACUUAACCUUUUUGCCUAAAAUGAAUUAUGUUCAUCUAAUUAGUCAUCUACUCCAAAUCCUUAACUCUUAAACCACUAAAAACUACUCAAUUCAUGGUAUCAUAACUUUUAGACAUUUUUUUGGCAAUUUUCACAAAAUUCAUUAAAAAGUAAGAAAUCAUCAACGAAACUUGAAAGUGAGUUUAAAAACCUUCUAAUCAUGAUAAAAUGAGUUGAAAAACACUUCAAAACCACAUUUUUACUCAAAACUCAAAAAUCCACCAUUAAUGUCCCAAAUUUUGGGUUUUAUUAAAAAUUUGCAGUUUAAUGGCUAAUACUUCAAUUUUAAAGACUAGAUAUCAUGAAAAACUCAUAAGAAUUCGAAACAUUAUCUUUGAUGGAUGAAAAUCAAACUUUUGACGCAAACUUAAGAAAACCCACGUUUGGAGAAGAUGAUGAAAUCUACAGAGUUUUUGGUGUUUUUUAAGUGAUUUUAUAAGUGUUUAAGGCUUGGGUGUUGAGGGAAAUCAAAAGCUUAUAGUUUGGAAAUCAAAAUCAAGUGGUUUAGUGUUGGAAGAGCAAGGGACGACAACAAGGGAAAGGUGAAGAAGAAACUAACAUGAUUUUACUAUUGGGGAAGGAAAUAGGCUGAAAUUUUAAAAUCUGUGCUAAUUGCCUCUUAAAAACUCCCAGCUUUUCCCUUUUUUUCAAAUCAGUCCCUUGGUCCAAAUUGAAAGACUUUUAAAACUUAUUUUCAAAAAUUUAUUUAGCAGCUAAGAUGCCAUAGUUGAAUAUAAUUCUGAUUUACCACGCUAUGAAAUUUCGAGCACUCUAAGGUUGAAAUCCCUAAAACACCCCUAAAACUCCUAGGCCCUAUUUUGGGGUGUUACAAUUUCAACAUAGGUUAGAUCAUGAACAUUUUCAAAAACAUUCAUAACAAUAUAUUUACUAUAACCAUGUUUCAUUCACUAAAUCAAACUAUCUACUAUUUCUCAUAAACCUACAUACAACAUAUAUAUAAACAUAAAAUCAUUCACGAUAAGUUGGCCAUUUAAGACUAUGAAACCUAAAAGUGGGCUCUACCACCACACAUCAGAUACAUGAAUCUCCAAUGAAUUAUCGACUCAAAGAGUCCAAAAUAUUCCAUAAGUGAAGCAUCAAGCUAUCACUCUCCAACACACCAACAUAUCCUGGUAAAUGGAGCUUAGCUCAUAUGCCCUUAUUUCUCCAAUCCAUCCUGGGCCUCAAUGCCCCAAAUCACAACACAAGGAUGAGCACUCACAAAUUCUUUGUUAUUGAUCAACAAAUAUGCAACAUUAUCGCUAUCACAUAGUAUGCUUAUCAUACUCACAAUUGAUGUACUUACAAGUACAACCACAAUGCUUCAUGAGCCACAAUAUCAUUAGAUCACAUAACACAUACUAAAAUAAUUCACAUAUUACUUACGCUUUUGUUAUAUCAAUUAUCACAACUCACUACACGUAUUCAUCACAAUUAUAAAAAGAAACAAAUGGGAUAAGAAGGCUUACUUUUGAAACUUAUGAUAGGGGUUUAGGCUACUCCUAAGCUCUCGUUUAACACUAUGAAUCAUGCCUACAAGCAGUGAUUCCAAAACACUCAUCGUUCACAUUUUCACUUGAAAAUCGCAAGCUCAAACUAGUUUUUUCUCACCUUUCGCCUUACUCGAAGAGGGCCCCAACAGUUCCAAAGCUUCACAUAUAUAACCACACAACAUAUACAAGCAAUUAGUAGCCAAAACACAUCUUAAAUCAAACAAAAAUGCAGGUCCAAAACUAGCCUUUUUAAAAAAUGGAAUUUUCUACUAGAUUGGCUAAAACUCAAAUAGGGUUUGUCCUAUUUUGGUUACUCUAAAUUUUUUUCUCAAUUUAGCCACUCUAAAUACAAUAAUUGUGCGACUUAGUUACUAACUGCCUCUCGAUGUACCAACACUAGAGGUGUGAAUACUACUACUAAGGAUAGGAAUCAAGGCAGUGUCCACAAGUAUAUGGGUCAAGUUGUAAUAUAGUUUACAACGAAGUAUGGAAGUAUCCGAGGAUCGUAACCUAGGGAGGUGAAACUAAACUAAUAUUAAUUUCUACGUUGAUGGGUCUAGUUAGUAAUUAAAUUAUAUUAUAUUACAAUAUAUCCUAAGGUGAUGAGAAAAUUUCUUUUAUACAAAUAAGAUAAUUAAGAAUGGGAAUAGAGUACAGAUUCUAUCAAUUCUAAUGAUGGAAGACUAACUCGUUUCAGUGUUCAUAAUUAGCUUCUACUUAGGGUUCUACUCAAGGCCUCUCUGCCUACCACUAACCUAAUGAGUUGGCAAAAACUACUUAUCUCUCAAUGCUACAGUCCAGACUGAAUGGGGUUAAGGUUUUAAUGAAUAGAUAAUACUAAUUUUGGGUUUAUUCCCACCUAUAUGACUUCUUAGAGUCAUCAAGCCUAGGGUUUUAAGUUCUUUCUAUCCCCGACUAGCUGAUUUGCUAAGAAUCUCUAAAUAGAAGUUAAUGAGUCCCACAUCCACUCGUUAAUCUUCCUUACUGGAUUAGUUCCCCAUGGAUUUAACACAUGCAAAUAAAUUGAUAGUAAAAUAUAAACAUUAUAAAAGAAAUCAAGAGUAGAGAUGAGAAAAAUCCUGAUAAUUCAAUAACAGAAGCACGAACUAAUGAAAAACUUAAUGAAAAACUAAACUGAAUACAAAGCAAAAUAAAAACUAUUCAUGAAGUGUUUAGAUUAGAGGUGAUCAUGGCCGCCCGGCCCGAUGGCCUGCCCGAAAUAUGAAAGGGUUCUUGUAAAAAUAUAGGCCUGAAAUAUAGGUUUGGGCAAAAAAAUAAGCCCGUUUAGAAAACGAGCAGGGCCUCGGGCAAAAAUAUAUAUAUUUUUAAAAAUAAAUUUCUCAUUUCCCCUCCCUAUUUCCCAUUUCCUUAAGCCCGUAAAAAUCGCUAAGCCCUUCCUUCCUCCUUUUUUUUUUUUAUUUUAAAAUUUUUUAUUUUUAUAUUUCAAAUUUUAAAAUUGAAUUUUAAUUAUUAGUAUUGUUAAAUUUGUUGAUAUGAUAUUUCACGGGAAGGGUUCUACUCUAAAAUAAAAAUAAAAAUUCUUUUUUUUAACUCUUUAUAAUUUAUAAAAUUUUAAAAUAGUAAUGGUAAAAUUACACUUUGCCCCUCAAAUGAUAAAAAACGUUAAUUUAAUCUUUUAAAAAUUAUAAAAAUGGUAAAAUUAUUUUUUCUAUCAUAAAAAAAGGGUCUAGCCGGGCUAGGCUCGGGCUUAGUAUUUUUUUCCUCAGGCCGGGCCUAGACAAAAUUUCAGGCCCAUAGCCUAGGAAGCGGGCUGAAUUUUUUUUGGGCCCGGCCCAUGAUCACCUAUAGUUUAGAUCCUUCUAUUUAUAGGCCUAGGGUUGGUCAUCAAUUGUUGACCUAAUUCGGCUGACGUUUUGCAUUGAAGUUUGUUGUGCAAACACCCUUGGUUAAUUAAUUCAUCAUGUCAUGUCGGUGUCGUGACACCCUCUGGUCUAUGUCGCGACACUAAUGGUAGUUUACUAGCUGGGGCUUGAUUUUAGGACUAUGUCGCGACACUCUCUUUCUACAUUGCAAAAGCUUACGAAAUUGAUGAAAAACUUGGUACUCCAAUUAAAGAACAUAUGCUUUUGCUUAUGAAGCUUUGCGUAAGUGAAGGACAAUGGGCUGGUUUAGAUCAUAACACUUAGACAAAUAUGGUGCUCAAAUAUCUAAUAUUAUUAUUUUUAUUAUAUUAUUAAAAAUUCCACGAGUCAACUAAGGGUAUUUUUUUAACAGUGAUAAUGGUAUGGGCCCAUAAUGGUUACCGGAUUUGACAAAAAAAAUGUAUCUAACUAAAAGAAUUGUUAUAGUUUGAGGGUUGUGUAUUGAACUAAGCUUUUUUUAUAGUAGUGAUAUAAAUAUCCUUUUCUUGUCUACCAUUUAAUUACGCCAUGAACAUCAGCAAAAAUGUCUGCGGUUGACUAACACCGUUGUUUGUUUUUGUUUUUUUUAAAUAAUUAGAGAUUUUAGCUUAGUAGGUGUAAGCAACAAUUAUUUGUCCAUUUAAUAUUAUAUUUUGGCGUGAUUAAAACGGAUCAUUUGUUAAUAUGAACGCAAAUGUGUCAUUAUCAUUAUUUGUCCAUUUAAUGUUAUAUUUUGGCGUGAUUAAACGGGAUCAUAUUAUUGAAUAUAUCCUAAUAAGUAAUCUAAUCUAGAUACUGAAAAUCUAAUAAUCUUCGUUAAUUAUAUUAUGGUAAAUUCUGCAUCAAUAUUCACCUUCUUUUCUCUUGUUAAUUUUAAAUUUCUUGAAUGAUAAGAAUUUUUAUUUGUGGAGUUCAUUAAUAAAUAUUUUUAUAUAAUUGAUGAAUAUUUUAUAUUUGAAAUUUAUUCAAUAUCAUUUAUUUAAUAUUUGUAAAUAUUUAUAUGUAUUAAAUUCUUUUUUAAAAUAUCAAUAAAUUUGAAAUGAUAUAUCGAAAUAGAUAGGUACCGUUAUGUGCCAGUUCUAGUAGAAAAAUGGUGUGCCCACCGGUGUUGUAAGCUCCCCGACCCGACCUAGAUGCUAGAUCGAAUCUAGAAGACAACAUCAGCCAUCGAGAUGGCUUACCAGGGUUAUCUAAGUUUAGAAAGCAACCAUUUUAAAACCUUCGUUUAAUUUAGUAGAAAAAUUCAAUUACAAACCGUUUUAUUAUUCCUCAAAAUCUUAAUUUUAAUUUACUAACAAAAGAAAUGAUAUCUAUUGGUUUUAAGGAAAACCGGGGGUUCAUGCAUACAAAUUAAUAAUUAUAGCAUAAUAUCUUAAAAUUUUAAAUAAAAUGUCAUGCAAAAUAAAAUCUCAAAUCUAAAGCCUAGGUUCCAUGCCAUAGUUCGAAAUAAAGUAGUACAAACUAUAAUAAUAGGAUAACCCAAAUAAUAAGUCUAAAUAAAUUGAAAUUUUGAACCCGAGCCGAGAUGCUCCGGUUGCCACGUCUGCGUUCCUAACCUUGUGGGUUAUCUUUAAGGAUGAAAAUUUAAGGGGGGGAGUGAGCUCUAAUGCUUAGUGUGAGUUCAAUCACAAGAAAAUUAGUGCAACAGUUAGUAAGAUACAUUAGAUAAUAUCGCAUAAAAUAUUCACAAUCAGAGAACAAUUCAAAGUAUCGAUUUUUCAAAGCAAAACCACCAUUAAUAUAUCAGAACUCACAAUAGUAGUUUUCAGAAUAACCAAAUUUUCAUAUUUACCCACAAUGAACAUAUAUAGACACAUAUAUAUAAUAAUAGAUUUUCCAGAUUUGUAUGCACAUGUGUUUAAAAUGCCAUGUAGUUUUGGUUUUUAACAAAAUAGAUCCUACCUCACCACUACACACUAUAAUGGGAGUUAACUAGAACUCCCUUCUCCAACACAAUGGGAUAUGGAUAAACCACUAUUGGUUCGCAGAUAAUAACUUCCAUUUGCCUGUGGACACAUAGAAAGUCCCCGUAGUUGGAAUCUGCCUAUAGUAGUGGGUUCACAGCAAAAAGUCCUACAGAUGAAACCUGCUUUUUGGCUAUAGUUUAUACAACAUAAACCUGCAGCUAGAAUCUGCCUUUGCCUAUGGAUACACAGCAAUACCCGUAGAUGGAAUUUGCCUUUGGUUGUGGAUGCACACAAAACAGAUGAAUGCAGAUAAACUGCCAAACUUCUUCAUAUCAAAUCAUCUAAACCCAAGCAAUGCAAUGCGGCAUAUUUAAUAUAGAUCAAGCAUGAUAGCAAUUAAUGUACUAAUACAUGACAAAUCAGUAGCAAAAUCAUGCAUUUCAUGUAUUCGGAUUAAUAGUAACAUAGGUCAUGUCGUUCAUACGAUCACAAGUAUAGAUACAGUAUUAACAUAUACUAUUCGUAAUUUAUGCAAAUAUACAUAUACAAAUAAACACCGCAUUAAUUUGAUCAAUCAUGGUUUCUAACAUAUUUCAUAUCCUCAAGGACCCGAUUGCAUAAUUUCAAACACUAAAAAUAGUUUAGAACUUAUUCAGGGAUUCAUCUGAUCAAAACAUAAAAUUCUGGGUCAAAACAGUAAAAUCUUAGUUACAGGGUACAGACGACUGUGUUAUCGGAUCAUGUCGGAAGCCUUGGGCCGUGUGGAUAGAAUGUACAACCGUGUGGCUAGGCCGUGUGGGUCAUGCAAAAUUAAGCUUAAGGGGUGACACGGUUGUGUGGGAGGCCAUGUAGAGGGUCCUAGGCCAUGGGAAAGUCGAACAUCCUAGGGUUUCAAGGGGGCAUGGCCGCGUAUGGGGGAUGUGUGGUCCACAGGCCCCUAUGGUUGGCCAUGUGGCUCUAUUCGUGGGUUAUGGAGAUUUUUUAGGUUUUGGAUAAUCGGCAAUUCAAGCCUUUCAUAGUUUUGCAACAUAAAUAAGUAGGUUUUAUAUGUUUUUUCACCAGGAUGCAAAUGAUUUACUUGUCAUUUGCUCCAAAUUGAAUUAAAAUUAGAAUUAUAUGUGCAUGGACUGAAGUAAAAUAAAUUACAAAAUCACCAAACCAUGAAAAACUUGAAUUGCCAAUUACCAAAAACCUAAAAACCUGCACACCCGACGUUGUUGGUGAACUUGGCAGCAACUUUCCCUCCCAGGCUUUUCUUUAUAAAAAUCAAACAGGUUUUUUCAGGCCACAUCACCAAAAAAAAAAUUGCUUCUAUAGUGGAUUUUUUGUUCUAUAUAAAUUUAAAAAUAUAUUUUUUAAAACUUCAUACAAGUGCCACCUAAUGAUUGGCAUAUGAUUGGGUGAGAUUUAAUAUGGUGUCUUCUAACAGUUUGGCGGCACCCAAUGACACAAUAAAAAACAUUCCAUUUUUGAAAAUAAUCUAGAUCCUAUAUCAUUUUCAUAAUUACUUUUUUUAUAUUAUUUUGAUAAAAAGUCUGAUUAUUUUGUGGAUCUAAAUGAGCUAUUCUAGCUAUCUUUUUGUCAUGCAGCUUUGACAAGAGAAAUAAAAAAGCCAUAACGUUCCCCAUUUUGAACCACCUCCGACCACAACAAACUAGAAAACACAACUACCUUGCCAUGAACAUAAUCACCCAAACAUAAACAUGAUAUAUAUUCCUUUUGUUCCCAUCUUUAUAAGAAAUUAGAACCUUUAAUAUUGUAACACCCUAUACCCAGUCCGGUCGCCGGACCCGAGCUAUAGAAUGUCACAUUAACCACAUAAGUGACUCUCCAUUUAAACACAACUUAACCUCCAACAAACCAUAAGUUAAAACAUAAAACAUGUUUACAUUUAAUAAAUCACAAGCUCAUGAACUCGCAUCGCUUGCUUCAUGGUACACAAUAGUAGUAACAUGCGAACCUACAUCGCUUGUAUGAACUUAACUACUCUUUCCCUGAAGACAUAAUUAUUUGAUGAAAGGAAUUAAGAACAUGCGAACUCUAAGUUUUGCGGAGCAAUAUACCUCGCAGAACACAGCAAUGCAACUGUCUAACGUCGGAGUUCGCACCCAUGCUUACCUCAUGCAUUCUAAGUCUUCUUUGGGGUAAGUUUCCUUAAAUAGGAUAGGUCUUUGCGUACCCUUAUGUGUUUAUAUUCUGCGAACAUGUUUAGCAGGGUCUCUCCUAAUUCCGUGUAGCAAAAUUUAUUAAGGGUUCGCAAGUACUAGUUUGCCAAUUGUUCGGGUUCACACUUUCCACAAUUCGAUAACCUUAUCACUUCGUAAAGACUGUGGCGAACUCUAUAUAGGUUACUCAAGUUGAUUUAUUACAUGUUUUGCUUAUGGCAAACACAGUUAAAGAUUAAAUACUUAAGCAUUUACUUGCAAAUUAAAAAAAUAUUAGUAAAUCUUUGAAGUAUAUUCGUAUACUUAAAAAUUUAGGUGUGCAUAUAUAGUUUUAUCGGUUUCUAAGAGAUAUUGAAUACAAAUAUAAAACAAAACUAAGACUUAGAGCAAUUGGUGAAGUCUAUAGAUAGAAAGAAAUCACUAAGCCUAAGCGAAAACCCACAUUUGCCUUUAUGUCCAGAGUUCGCUUAUAUCACAUUGCCAAUGUUUAUACUCUGUCUGGAUCACUCGCCGUCGCCGCUACACACUGUGCGAUCUAACUGUCUUCAAUGUUUAGAGAGGAAUGUGUAAACUCUUGUGAACUCAAUGAAUAUACAAGAAAACCACAUAGCAUGCACAAAAACAUAAGUUAAACAAGUGUUUAAACAAAGUUACGGAUCUAUGAACCGAGUUCACCAUAUUUACAUGAAGCUUGGUUCGCAGCUAUCUUCUGUUAGUUAGCUUAAAACAGUAAAACAUAAUAUUUUGAAAAACACAAUCUUAUUCACAUGUUCUUUUCUGUUGGAUAAGUGGAUCUCCUUAUAACUCCUCACUUUGACUCAAAGAGUCUUAAUAUGUCCCAUAAGUGUAGCAUAAAGCUUAGCACUCUCCAAACACACCAACAUAUCCCAUUGAAUGGAGCUUAGCUUGACAUUCCCUUAUUUCCCCUACCCUAUCCCAAGGCCUCUCGCCCAAAACGUAAAACACAAAGAUGAGUACUCACAUUCCUAUGGCAUGUCAUUAUAUCUAACGGUUUCAGAAGAUUAUAGUUUCAAUACAUUCACUUAAACAUAGAGCUCAGAAAUCAAGAGGAGCUCAUAGAACACUAUUCAUAAUUAGCUUGCAUAUUACUGUUCACAAAAACACAUAUUUAAACUCAAUCACAAAAUAGAGUUUUAGCAAAGACUUACUCUCAAAACUUAGGAUAAAUCCCUAAGCUCCUAAUUAACUCUAUGGUUUGCACAUACAAGUGGUAACCCCUGAACACUCACCAAUUUGCUGAAAGCUUUUAAACAAGAUUCGCUUUUCCCUUGUCUUUGCUUGUAGAUAGUUCUAUCAAGUUCGCAAUUCCACAACAAAGACAAGUUACUAACAGGCAAAACACAUUAAGACUUAUACAUAAACACAAGUGAACCUAGGUUCGGACAUAUUAGUCUUUUGGCGAACCUAGUUUCCUUUGCUGCGACCUUUUCUUAAUUAUUUCUAAAUAUUAACACAACAGAGAAACAUAGUCUUACCUUAAAUCCUAAGAGCUAAGUUCUAAGUUCUUGUUUUUGUGGAAACUUGACAACAAGAUAAUCGAUAAAGGAAUUUGAGAGAGUUUUGUCAUUCAAAAGAAUAUGAAUUUUUCAAUGAAAAGAGCUUAAUUUACAGACACUAGGUGUUUUGAUGUUCUUAGGAUGCCCUAGUCGUAGUAGAAGUAGAAAAGAGUUACAUGCAUGAGUGGUGUUGUGAAGGGGAAAAUAAGUCAACUUUCUAAUUUUGGCGUAACUGCCCUUUGGCUACUCCUAAUUUUAAUCAUCGAUCCAAUCCAUUGAUCAUAGCUCACCUGAUUCACUGGCAUCCACAACUCGCUAGUCCCACUGGUGACCCCAACUCGCCUGGCUCAAACUUCAAGUGUCACAUCCCGAAAACCAGGUUAGGAGAAUCGGGUAAGUAAAUCAGGGGUUAGUGAAUCAAAAACCUUAAUUAUAUUAUAUAAAUAAAAAAUUAGGAGUUAAUUAAAUAAAAUAUUAGAAUAAUUGGAAUUUAUAAUUUUAGGUUAGGAAAUUAAAAUUAGGUGUCUGGGAAUUAAUUUGAUGAAGAAGGAUUUAAAAAAACAAAGAGGUUUGAUUUAAAAAUAAUUUUGAAAUUGGUUUUAAUUGAAAAGUAAGGACCUAUUUGAAAAAGGGAAGAAACUGGAGGUGGUUAAAUGGGCAAUGGCCCAAUUUUUAAAAAUGGGUUGCCUAUUUAACAACCCCACGUCUCCUUCCCUCGCAUUCUUCAUCUUCUUCAAAAAUUUUCCAACCACCAAAUCAAAGCUUUUUUCCCCAAUUUAGGUCAUCCUUUUUUAUGCUUAAGCUCUCUAAACAUAAAACCUCAUUUCAAUUUUGAAGAGUACUCAUGUUUUCAACCUCAAUUUCUCUAAAGUUCUUUACACGUUCAAAGCUCGAAUCAGCUCCAUAGCUCAUCAAUUUUGCAAAAUUGAGGUGAGAUUCUAACUUUUUAUGAUUAAACUAAGUGGGUUGUUAUUUAUAUUUAAGAUUUAAAUGAUUUAAUCAAUAUUUCAAUAUAUCAAUUUAUUUUUAGUUGAUUUUUGGAUUAAAAAUGGUAGAUAUCGUAUUUCUUGGCUAAGCUUUGGCUUUAAAGUGAUUUCUAGCUCAUUUUGAUAUAAUUAAAAGGUAUUUUAUCUUAAUUUAAAAAAUCCUUAAUGAAUUUAAGCAAAUUGAAUGUAAGCUUAUUUUUUGAAAAAAAUUAGAUCAGUAAAAUUGGAUGAAAUUGAUGGUUUGGAUAUGUAAUUAGAUGAUAUUUAGGAAUAUUAGAAUCAAAAUUAAGGCUUAGAGAUCAAGUUUGAGUGGUAAAACACCUAUUUCGGUAAAACCAGUUAAACUUUCGGUAUGAGAAAAGUGAGCUUCGAAUGGUGAUUUUGCUACUGGUUUUUUUAGUUUAAGGCUGAUAAUUAUGAUUUUAUAUUGUAUUUAAUGUGUAUGCAAUGUUUCAGAUUCAUCGAGAGAUUUCACGAGCAAUGUGAAAGGGUAAUAAAAGUUUGUUUGACAUUGUUUUGCAAGAUGUAUUGACUAAGGUGAGUGGUUUGGUAUACUACAUUGAAACUCUAGUACACAGGCUAAGGUAGCAUAUGCAAAUCCUCUGCUUAAUUAAUAUGUGAACCUUGACUUCUUCAUUAUGCAAAUCCUUAUAAUUUUGGUUAAAUUGUUGAGUAUAUAUACUAUGUGAUUUUAAUGGUGCAAAAUGCAUGAACUUAUAAUAUAUAUACAUUGACUUUAUUUUGUAUACAAUAUAUAUUAGGUGUUAUAUAUAUAAUAUCAACGAGGGAGCUGGUAAUAUAUAUAUAUAUGCGUGAGAUUGGAGUCAUAUAUAAUAUAUAUGAGUGCUUUGGUGCUAAGUAAUAUAUAUGCAUCUUAUAUAUAUUAUAUAUAUGUGUUGGUUGUAAUAUAAAUAUAUACACGUGGGUGGUUAUACAUAUAUUAUAUAUGUGCAUGACUUUAUCUUAUAUAAUAUAUAUGCAUGUCUUUAUUUUACCUAAUAUAUAUUAAUGGAUUUUGGUAUUAUAAUAUAAUAUAAUAUAAUAUAAUAUAAUAUAAUAUAUACGCAUGGUUCAAUAUAUAUAAUUACGAGAAUGGUUUUUAUAAUAUAUAAAUUUAUGAGUGUAUGUUUAAAAUUUGAAGUGGCAAAGGUCAUUAAAUAAAUAUGUAUAUAUAUAAUAUAUAUUCCUAUAUGAUUUUGUAAUAUGUAUGAACGGAUAUAUGAAUAAAUAAUAUAAUGUGGACUCUUAUAAUAUGCAAAUUUUAUCAAUAAUGUAUAUCUAUGCAUGCACAAAUCCGUAAGUGAAUUAUGAUAUUUAUGAUAUUGCGAGCCAAUUAUAUUUGUGUAUUGUGUUAUAUUGUGAACCAUGUUAACCUGACGAAUUAUAUUAUUAUAACGAACUGUGUUAAUUUGGUAAUCUGUAUUAAUAUGGCAAACUGCAUUAAUUUGUCAAAAUGUGUAUUGGGAGAUUUUGAGCUACAUUGCAUGCAAGCUAAGGUAUUGUGUGCCCUAUGCUAAAUAAAAUAUGCGAAAAAUGAUUUAUGUGUGCUAAAUCAUGAGUGAUAUGUGAACUGUGUUAUAUGUGCAAUAUAUGUUGCAUAAAAGUGACAUUAUUUGCGAACCAUGGUCUAUUGCGAAUUGUGACUUGCACACUAUGUUAUAAUGUGCGAGCUCUACUUAACUGCGAGCCCUAUUAUACUGAAUAUUUUGAAUAUGUUAAAGAGAUAUUUUGAAAUUGUGACCUUAUGGAACCAUUGUAUAUAGUUGGCAUGCUAUAGGAUUGUGAGCACUCACCCUUUUUUAUUGCGAUGGACAUUGUGGCUUGGAGAUGUGUGGGAGAGAUAAAGGAAUGUCGAGCAUGGCUCCAUUCACUUUAGAUAGCGUGGUGUGAUUGGAGAGUGUGAGCAUACGUGCUACACUUACAUGGAGUUAGCUUACAACUUUAUGAGUCAUGUGGUGUGUUUCGGACAUCCGUUUAUCCAAUGUGUGGUGAUAAAGUCCACUUAUAGGUGGUGACAAAGUCCCCUAUAAGUUUCAUAAUCAAAAAAAUGCAAAAUUUAUCAGUAUUUUAGAUAUAUGAGUUAUGAUGGAGCAUGAACUUUUAUUUCGCAUGAAGUGUUAUUCGAUAUGAACUGAUAUUUCAUAUGAACUAUUAUUUUGCAUGAGUUGUCGUUUGGUAAGAACUGUUAUUUCAUAUGAACAGAUGUUUGGUGCGAAUUGAUAGUUUAUGUGAUUUCUCCAUUUUGUGCGAAUUACUUAUUAUUUGUGCACUGCUUAUUGUAUGAGAAUUGUUGUGUUGUGUAAGUUACUAUUUUGUGUAAACUGCAAUAAUAUGUGAACUGUUAUUGUUUGUCACCUUUUAACCUAAUUGAUGUGUUUAUUUGUAGUAUGUUUGAGCACUCAUUGAGCUUUCAUAAGCUCACCCACUCUUUUAUAAUAUUGCAGUAACUUACCUUGUGAAGAGGUGUGGGAGUGAGUCAUCCAAGUGAUUCAAAUCGAGGCUAUAUCUAGGAACAUCAUUAUGUUCCCAAGCCUAAUGAGGAAGGCAAUGUGGGACUAAGUUAUGGGAUUUAGUAUUAGACUUAUAAUUUUCGGGUUGUAAUGGGACACUGUGAACUAUUUAAUUGUUUGGUUUAAAACUUUUAUCAUUGCGUUAGAUAGAUGAUUGAAUGAUGGAUUAUGAUUGUUUGAUAAUUUGUUUGAAUAAUUCUUAGACUAACUUGUAAGUGCAGGUUGAAGAGUUGUUGGUCAUCGAGGUAAGCCUUAGAUGUUUUAUGUGUGAUUUAGAUACAAACAUGUGCUUGGUAUGCAUGAGAUGUAACACAAAAUUUGGUCAAGUUAUGUAAACUGUUAAAUGUCUACUAACUAAUUAAUUUAUAAUGUUAUGAGGUUGUGCGAGAUGCUUUAAUAAAUUUUCCAAAAAUAAGACUUAUACGUUAAAUCCUACAAUCCUAUUACUAAAAUUUGUGAAAUGGAAUCUUUCCCAACAUAUUACUAUUCAUUACGUUUUAAAUCUAGUUAUAUGUUUUUAAACUAAACAGUUUUUUUCCAAGUCCCUACAAAUACAAUAUUUUAAAAAUAUUGUACUGCAUGAAUGUAUGUUUAACUAAAGUUUUCUAGGUAAUUGUCUAUUAAGUAUUAAAUUGUGAAUUAGUCUUGUUGUUGAUUGUUGAUCAGAGCAACACAACGGAAGCAUGAUAUUAGGUUUUUAUUAAAUAUUUCAUGAUUAAUUGUGUGGUGUGAUUGGUCGAUUGGUGUGCAUUGUGGUGGUUUUAAAUGGAGAGUCACUUCUGCGACUAAUGUGACAUUUGAAAUUUGGGUCGGACCGUUCCGGCUGAGUUUGGGGCACCACAUCAAAGCCCUAUUUUGAGAUGUUACAAACAUGUUUGUCAAAGCAGCUACGAAAGAAAUAUAUCUCACUUGGCAUUGCAAAAUGUAAAUCAAAAGAUCCACUUGUCAUUGCCACUUGUCAAGACAUUUGUUGCAAACAAAAAAAAAAUUAUAGGAGUAAAAUUUAAAUUUCAAAAGACUACAUGAACCUUUUCAUGUUUAAAUGAAAAGCAAAUAACCUAAUCAUUAAUUCAUACUUCCACUUUUUUGCUUUUGUUUCUUGAUCAUCAAAAAUCAUGAUUGUUUAAACCAGAUUAGAUCGACUUAUUAGACUAGGAAUCGACUAGCACAUCGAUCCAAAAAUCGAUUAUUAGACCGCCAACUACGAACUAGAUAAACUGAUAAAGAUCGAUCCAACCGAUUGUUAUGGUUUUGAGACCAAAUUUCAUCUAUCCCAAAUCGAACAAAAAGAAAACCAACUAGCCACCUACCCCUAAAAAAUUUAACACCCAGCCUUAAAAUCAAUAUAAUUUUUUUAAAAAAGAACCCCUAAUCUAACUAUUGUAUUACUAAAACCUAUUAUAAGCACGGUGUGAAAUAGAUUAACUGAACAGCUAGAAGCUUUCUACGUACUUUUUAGAGUGGUUUAAAAUAAAUAAGAAAAAUAAAAAGAAGAUGAUGAGAGAAAACACAAUAUUCUUUAUAGUUUUAGAUUUUGGAAAAAUAAGUAAGUAAUAAAGCUCUUGACUUCAUCAUUGGUAAAAAAAAAAGUCAAUAAAUUUUGGAAUGACAAAAAGUGUAAAGUAUGAUAUUGAGUCAAAGGGUCAACGUACCUUACUAGUGAUAUCCAUAAGCAUUAUAAGCUUUGUGCUCCUUACUUGAGGUUGCUCGGGCAGGCGCCUAGAUCUAAUAGUUUUGAGCAUAGGCUUUGCUAUGCAAAUUCAAGGCUUCAAAAUUCCUUCUUCAUUUUGUGCUAACUACUUGAGUUGAAGAGGAAGCCAGUAGAAACUUCAAAAAUACAAGAGAUGGAAAGGGUGCUUUGUGGAAGACCAUUUGUGCUUUGUUUAAGGCCUAUCCUAUCAUGUGUAUGGGCAAUUAGCCUUUGUUGGGCUUGGUUGUUUGGGUCUGAGUUUGAUUUGAGUUUAUUUCUUUAGGUAUGAGAUUGUAGCAUAUUGGAUAUUAAUAAAUUUAUUAAAAAAACCAUGAGGAGAGGAAUUUUCCCUCCAUUUUUAAAAUUUUUCUUUUACAAUUUUCAAACAGUAUUUUAUGCUGGUGUUAAGGUUGAUGUUGAGAUUUUUUUUUUUUUUGUUAAUAUUUUCCAUUUUUGACCAUCCACUACAGAAAGCCACCCACCAAGCCCAGGCAAGUACCGACCGUGGCUUUUGGUCCAAGAUUAGAUAGACGAUAUGGCGAAGGGGGCAGGAGAUUAAAUUGAAAUUUCCAUUUAUUUUUUUCUUUCUAAUUUUUUUAAUAUUUUUGACUUAUAUAUAUUUAUAUAUUUUUAUUUUUUAGCGAUAAAUCCCAAACUAUACGUGAACUAUGGUUUAAUGUGCAAUUGUAUAAAUUGUCAGAUAAUUACAUCAUCAUUAUCACCCAUAAAAAGAGCAAAUUAAUUUUUUCUGUUAAAAAUUUCAUCCAUUUAUACGGUUAAAAACUGGUGGUUGACAGAAUAACUGUAUAGUGACAUAUGAUGUGCCAUGUGUACCUUAUGUUGAUGUACGUCGACUAAUUUUUAACUAUAGAAAUAGAUUAAAUUUUUAAUAGAAGGACCAGUUUGCUAUUUGAUCUAACAUACAAAGACCAAUUUUGCUUUUUUUUUUAAGUAGAGAAGAUAACAUGUAAUCUAAGUCCUAAUACAAUAAAUUUCAUGAUAAUUUUACCCGACUAUCAUACGUGAGAGUAGUGAAUCUAUAGCAUAUAUUUAAAAAAAAAAAUCCCCUAUAGGGUGAAUGCUUGAAACAUGUUAACUUAAACUAUAAGUUUUUUUAAAGAUUUUAGUUUAUAAAUUUUAAUGCAAUUAUGAGUUUAUAAGAAUAUUUUAUAUUUAUUUUUAAGUUUGUUUUUUUUAAAUGAGUAUAUGGUUUAUUUGUAUAAUUUUGAGAUUUUUUUUAGUUUUCUUUAAAUGAGUAUAUUUUUUAGUCUUUUUAGUUUUUUUAAAGCUUAUCACAUACGCUUUGUUAACGAUAGCAGAAUACUGUUGUAUGCGGCUUAUUGGGCUUAUUAUUUUGAAAACUGAACCGUUUUCUUGAAUCUUUUUCUUUAAAAUGACGCUCACUUAACCCUAAACUAUUCACUAGUUAUUUUUACUCAGAAAGUUCACGAGAUACCACCAGCAAGAAGAGGAGUUAUCGUUUAUAGGUAAAUGUCUUUGGACUUUCAACUGUUAUUUCUAUUAUCUUCUACCAUGGUUAGGGUUAAAAAUGGUUUGGGUGGUCGGGGUGGUGGCUACUCUGGUCGUGGUUGUAAUGCCCUCAACCCGACUCGAUUUGCUGGCUCCGAAUAUCACACGUUACUACACCAAUUAUUAACAAAUUUUACAAAACAAUAUAAUAUUACUCAUUUCCUUAAGUAUUCUAUUUAUUAUUUUAACUGAAUAAUUAACGUUUUAAUACAGGAGAAAUGUUUCGAAAUAACUAGUUACAAUAGAGUUGACAUGAAACAUUACAAAAUAGAAGUUUAUUAAUGACAUAUACAGAUGGUGUAGUCCUAGACUAUGCCACUUUUAUGCCACUUUUCCGUUGUAUGCAUAAUAGCCCAUACCGCCAACACCUUCGCAUACUCUUGACAUCGUCUCUCCUGGCGCAAACUCGUUCCAAACCUGAAAAUAAUAACAAACAUUGUAAGUCCAAGAGUACUUAGUGAGCUUUGUUACAGAAACACCAUGAUAGGCACUUUGCAUUCUUGUAUGAAUUAUAGCCUGCAAACCAUUCUUCUAAACGAAUAUUUUGGGUAGAUAUCACUUCAGUUUCAACAUACCCUUAUAAGCCAACUAUCAUGCUCUUAUUAUACUCAUAUCUUCCUUAUUUAAUUAACUAACGGUCCUUCCUAACAUUUCUUAAGCUUCUAAAGCACACAUAUAAUUCUCAUUAGAACAUAUCCUCGGAGUUCACUUUUAACGAUCCAUGCCUUAACACAUACACUUAACUCAAAACAGUUAUUCAUAGACAUUUUUCACGGAUGAAUACUUAUGCAGAACUGGAUACCACUAAAUUCACACUCAACCAUUGUAACACCCCUCACCCAGCAUGGCCGCCAGACCCGAGUUACAUGAGACUACAACAUUAUCGUAACUUUACCACAUACACACACAGCUUCAAGCAAGAACAAUUUUUAUUAUUUUAAGCAUUUUCAGAGGUGAUUGCGAUUAGACAAACAUUAUACAACAUUCGAAAUAGUUUAAAUACAUGCUUAGGGACCAUAUAGCAAAUUUCCAAAAAAUAAUGUAGGUAUCGAUACACAAUAGUAGGUAUCAAUAUUUUGGGAAGUCGGGUAUCGAUACUAAUAAGAAAAUCAAUAACAUUCCAGCAUUUUAUUUUUUCAACUCAAGUUUAAAUCAAAAUGUUUUAUCGAUACAUAAACAAAGGUAUCAGUAUUUUUACCUCGAGUAUCGAUACUCGUAAAAAAAGUAUCGAUACCAAAUUCAGUUACUGUUUUCCUGCACAUACAUUUGAAGAUCUAGGUAUUGAUAUUUAUGCCUCGAGUAUCGAUACCCCUAUGCAAAUCAACCAAAUCACAACCACAAUAGAGAAGUAUUCAUGCUAAAAAAAAUAUCUUCCUCACACGCAUUACCCACCACAAUCUCAUGCAUCGAAAUACCUACAAAUGAAGUCCAAAAGCGUAAAAGAAUGAAUAAAACUAUAACAGUAAACAACCAGAGUUCUAGAAGUCCAAAAUCAUAAUAAACCAACAAAACAAUAAUAAUAACUAGCAAAGAUUCUACCCACAUUGCCUUUAUUCCAAAAGUCCAUAAGAACAAUAUAAUCAACUACUCAAGUUAGUAUUGCCUAGCUUAGAUCACUUCCUUGGUUGCACCGCUCACACCAAAAACACUACUAACCUACAAGGAUUUAGUAAGGGUGUGAGCUUAAACAAGCUCAGUGAAUGUAUUAGAAUUUACCACAAGCAUGCAUUUCUGUAACACCCUAAACCGGGCUUGGUCACCAAGCCAAAAUACGGGAUGUCACACCACCGUCUCAUGUCAUAUACAAUAAGUAAAAGUUUAUUCUAAACGAAGCGUCUUCCAUUUUAGUAUUCGUAUAGGUUUUAAGUCAAUUAACUUGUUAGUUAUCAAUGUUACAUGCUAACCAUACACCAAAUAGUCUUAUAAUAAUAAUUAACCAUGCAUAAGGUCCAUGUAACAAAAUUUCUAAAACUUGUUCGUAGGUAUCGAUACUAACACUUGGGUAUCGAUAUUUUCUCUAGGUGGUAUCGAUACCACUUGGAAAAAUGAUACCAAACUUGCAUUUUGUUUCUCGACUAAAAUCCCAAAGUCUCAAAAAUUAUCGGUACUUGUCAUGAAAUUUUGAUUUUUGACCUUGAGCAUCAAUACUCAAGCAAAGGUAUCGAUACCAAAUCUCUAAUCUAACUUUCUGCAUGUUUCAAAACAUAGAGGUAUUGAUUUUUAAGCUCGACUAUCGAUACCCCUACUCUAGACCUUAAUAAUGUAGCAUACACAAUCAAAUAAUGUAACAUCCCAAAAAUCGGGGGUUAGUAGAAUCAGGUUUGUGAAUCGAGAGAGAGUGGUCAUGCCUUAACUUUUGAGAUUAUCUAUGUAUUUUUUUAGGAAAUAAAUGAGGUAUUGGUUUAUUGGAUAAGUGUUAGUGAAACCUUCCUUGAAACCCAAGUUCAAAUCCCUUCUCUCUCACCAUUUUUAUUAUUUUACAAAUUUUGCCUUAAACCCUAGUAUGUGACAUGCCUUGUUUUUAAAAUAAAUAUUGCAAAGUUAUUUCCAGAAUGAGGAAGAAGCCUAAUGUUGAAAAGAAAUAUGAGAAAGCAUGGAAAUGAAAUGAGGUCCCAAGUUCAAAUUCCUUUCCUUAUGAAAUAAUUUAAUUUUUGGUAGAAAUCCCUUGUUUUUAAUGGGUGUGCCACCCAAGCCUUGUAAACCUAGGUCUAAAUGUUAAUUUUUCAGAAAUAAUCAUCUUUAAUCCUCUUGCUCAUUGCCCUAACCGUUCAUCUCCUCCUCUCCCUCUCAUUGAUUUUUUUUCCUUUCCUCCAUUAAUGUCGUCACCUACAACUCACAUUUUAUCAUCUUUUUUUUUUCUUUUUGCAUCAAGAUUGGGCACCAUCUUCUUUAUUAUAUUGCUUCCAUUUAUCAUCCCAAAAUCUAAAAUCUUGAACCCCAAGAGCGACCCCGAAUAUUUCCAAGAAAGUGUCAUUGUCAUUUCUCUCAACUAGCUUGGAUAAGAUAUCUUUUCUCUUCAAUUUAUUGAUUAAUAUUGUCAAUUAAAAGCCAAAAUUUCCAGAUCUAGAAUUUAGGGGAUUUAAAAAUUUUUUAAUGGUAUUUUCUAAAUUUUAAUGAUAUCUCAAACCGUUUUAAAAUUUAGCCCCAAUUUUAGCCACCAUUGGUGGUGGUGCCUGGGGUUGUUUUGUUUCUUAGGUCUUGCCCAUAUUUUUCCAGCAUUAAAUUUUGUUCUUUAAUCCUCCUAAUCAGCCUUUAAUCACAUGUUUAUUAUGGAGAUAUGUUCUUGAUGAAUUAACCAAUCGGAUCCCACAAAUAUUGAAGUGUAAGUGAUAUCAAGGAUAACUAGUUUGUUAUUUCGACAUAGUUGUUGGGUAAAGGUUAUGAAUUGAUUAAAUGAAGAAAUUUAAUCAUUAAUUAGCUACUUAUUUUCCAGUAUAUUAUUGAAUUAAGUGUUGAGCCAAACGCCUCAAAUUAUUCGUAAACCGAAGAACGAUUGUACGUACGGUUCGCAUCGAUACAAUGUAAGGAAUUUAACUAGUUUGGAUUCAUAAAAUAGUUAUAAUUUCAACGAUUGGUUUGAACUCAUAAGUGGGUGUUUGGGGGAUGGUUUAAUGGUAAAUUGAUUGAAUUUAUACUGAAUUUCAGUUUAGGUUCGUUUAAGGAAUUGUUAAGGAAAAUUGGAAGAUUCGCUAGUGUACUGCGAGAAAGCGAAAAAUAAGGUGUGGGUCCUAAACUCAUAAAAUUGUUUGAAAAUGUUAAAUAUCAAAUUAUAUUUGAUAAAUUAGCUUGCUGAUUGGAUUGAAUUAACAGCCAAAUUAUUGGUUCACUAGUCAAUGCAUUGCACCUGGAGUACCGAGGGGAAUGGCAAUUUUUUCGCAUUUUUACUGGCAACUUGGCUGCAUUUUUACUGGCAGAAUUUUCCGUAUAUAGUUAUUGGUCGUUUUAACCAUAAUGGGCUUAAGCCCAUAAUGUUUUGGAGUUCGGAUGACGAGUUUUGGGGAACUCGUAGUGUGUAGCUGAUGGUAUGGGUAGGAACCUUUUUACAUUGUAUCAUGUGCACGACAUAUUCGAGUGUUAUUGAUUUAUGCUAUUUAUUGUAUUUUUUUAUAUUAAAUGGUAUCGUAAUUAAUUAUUGUUACUCGAAUGAAUGAUGACCAAUGCUCAUACACCAUUUGACAUCAAUUUGAUAAUGACUAUGUAAUGAUAUGAAAUUCCUAUGAUGGUUCUAUUUUCUUCUGUUAAAGCUAACCUAUUUCACUCUAUUCGAUAUUUAUGUUUGUUUAAAUAAUUGUUCGACUCACACUGAGCUUUUCAUAAGCUCACCCCCCAAUAUAGCCUAGUCAUUUCGAUGGCUAAUAUAGCUUAGCCAUUUCGGUGGCUAAUGUAGCCUUCUCAAUCUAGCCAUAAUGUCUAGGCUAGGUUUGGGAAUAACCCGUUUCAGUUUAGUUUCUAAACAUUAUGCAUCAAAAACAUAGAAAAAUAAUUAUCCAACAACUAAAUUCGACAGUUCAAAAAACAUUUCUGAGCUAGAAGCACCAUGCCAUCAUCGAUGUUUGUAAACCUAAGCAUAACCAUAACUCUUAAACCUUAUAAACAAAAGCAAUAACCAACAAAAUGUCUAGAAAAUAACAUGUCAAUAACCAAGACUACCACAUUUCCCUUUCCCCAAAAAGUAAUUAAAUAAAGAACACCUACAAAAUAACACAAAACUAGCUCAGAUCACCUCUUGAAAACCACACCACUCACACUGGCACACAACUAAUCUGCAAUGGGUAAAGAAGGGAGUGGGUGAGCUUAACAAACUCAAUGAAUGACUAGAAUAACCACAUCGCAAACAUAUCAUCACGCAUCCUCAAGACAACCAUAUAUAAGUUCAAUUACAAUAGUCAUAUAUCUAGUGUCGUAGAGUACCUAUCCAUGCAUUAUCUAUUGGUUCAUCUGCACAGUAUUUACAUACUCAUGCAACAUAUAUCAUGUAACACACAUAUUUAGUCAAGCAUAUAUCACAAUUCACACAAGUCACAUAUAGCGAAAAGUUGGCAAUAUAGCACAUACUCUAUUAAGCAUAAAACAUGUUCCACACAAUUACAUAUAAUAUGAUAGAUUGAUACUUGAGUUGCGAAACAUAUAAUGACCUCUAUCAUCACAUGUCGGAUACAUGAAUCUCCGAUCACACCAAAUGACUCGUAGAGUCAGACAUGUCCCAAAAGUGAAGUAUAUAACUAACACUCUCCUUAUUUCCCCUCACAUGUCUCAUUGUAUGGAUCUUAGCUCACAUCCCCUUAUCCCUCCAAAUAAUACUCACAAUUAAUAUACUUACAAGUACAACCACAAUGCUCCAUGAGCCACAAUAUCAUUAGAUCACAUAACACAUACUAAAAUAAUUCACAUAUUAAUUACUAUUUUUUUUAUAUCAAUUAUCACAACUCACUACACGUAUUCAUCACAAUUAAAAAAACAAAUGGGACAAGAAGGCUUAUUUUUGGAACUUAUGAUAAGGGUUUAGGCUACUCCUAAGCUCUCGUUUAACACUAUGAAUCGUGCCUACAAGCAGUGAUUCCAGAACACUCACCGUUCAUGUUUUCACUUGAAAAUCGCAAGCUCAAACUAGCUUUUUCUCACCUUUUGCCUUACUCGAAGAGGGUUCCAACAGUUCCAAAGCUUCAUAUAUAUAACCACACAACAUAUAUAAGCAAUUAGCAGCCAAAAUACAUAUUAAUUCAAACAAAAAUGCAGGUCCAAAACUAGCUCUUCUAAAAACCAGAAUUUUCUACUGGAUUGGCUAAAACUCAAAUAGGGUUUGUCCUAUUUUGAUUACUCUAAAUUUUUUCUCAAUUUAGUCGCUCUAAAUAAAAUAAUUGUGCAACUUAGUUACUAACUGCCUCCCAAGUACCAACACCAAAGGUGUGAAUACUGCUACUAAGGAUAGGAACUAAGGCGGUGUCCACAAGUAUAUGGGUUAGGUUGUAAUAUAGUUUACAACGAAGUAUGUAAGUAUUCGAGGAUUGUACCCUAGGAAGGAGAGACUAAACUAAUAUUAAUUUCUACGUUGAUGGGUCUAGUUAGUAAUUAAAUUAAAUUAUAUUACAAUAUAUCUUAAGGUCAUGAGAAAAUAUAUUUUAUAAAAAUAAGAUAAUUAAGAAUGGGAAUAGAGUGCAGAUUCUAUCAAUUCUAAUGAUAGAAGCCUAACUCAUUUUAGUGUUCAUAAUUUGCUUCUACUUAGGUUCUACUUAGGGCCUCUCUGUCUUCCACUAACCUAAUGAGUCGGCAAAAACUACUUAUCUCUCGAUGUCGCAGUCCAGAUUGGACAGGGGUAAGGUUUUAACGAAUAGGUAAUACUAAUUUUGGGUUCAUUCCCACCUAUAUGACUUCUUAAAGUCAUCAAGCCUAGGGUUUUAAGUUCUUCCUAUCCCCGACCAGCUGAUUUGCUAAGAAUCCCUAAUUAGAAGUUAAUGAAUCCCACUUCCACUCGUUAAUCUUCCUUACCGGAUUAGUUCCCCAUGGAUUUAACACAUACAAAGAAAUUGAUAAUAAAAGAUAAACAUUAUAAAAGAAAUCAAUAGUAGAUAUCAGAAAAAUCCUAAUAAUUUAUUAAUAGAAGCACGAACAAUAAUUCAUUGAAGAGUAUGACGAUAUACAAUCUGAUCCCCGUGAAAAACAAAAUAAAAGGAAAAACUAAACUAAUGAAAAACUUAAUUAAAAACUAAACUGAAUACAAAGCUAAAUAAAAAUUGUUCAUGAAGUGUUUGACCUAGGGUUAGUCAUCAAUCAUUGACCUAAUUCGGCUAACGUUUUGCAUUGAAGUUUGUUGUGCGGCUAAAAACACCCUUGGUUAAUUAAUUCCUCAUGUCAUGUCGGUGUCGCGACACCCUCUGGCCUAUGUCGCGACACUGAUGGUAGUUUACGAGCUAGGGCUUUAUUUUAGGACUGAGUCGCGACACCCUCUUGCUAUGUCACAAAAGCUUCCAAAAUUGAUGAACUCUAAGGAAAAGCUUGGUACUCCGAUUAGAGAACAUAUGUUUUUCCUUACGAAAUCUUUGCCUAAGUAGAGGACAAUGCGCUGGUUUAGAUCAUAACACUUAGACAGAGAUGGUGCUCAAAUAUCUAAUAUUAAUUUUUAUUAUAUUAUUAAAAAUUCCACUGUCAAGUAAUAAUUUGCUAAAGGGUAUUUUUUUUAACAAUGAUAAUGGUAUGGGCCCAUAAUGGUUACAGUAUUACAGUUUAAGUACUGGAUUUGACAAAAAAAUGUAUCUAACUAAAAAAAUUGGUAUAUUUUGAGGGUUGUGUAUUGAACUAAGCCUUUUUUAUAGUAGUGAUAUAAAUAUCUUUUUUUUGUAGAACGAUUAUUUUCCCUAGCCUAGUCCUAGGAAAGGUGAACACCUAGAUUAAUAGGUCACAAUUUUAAGUUUAGAAUAUAAUUAUAUUUAAUUGCAUUUCGUAUCAUAUACUCAUAUUGAUUUUUAUGACAUUUCAAGUUAACUUGUGACAUGAACUAAGCAAAAAGCUUUAAUAUAGUAUAAAUAUUAAAUAAUUGCAUAUUGGGACCCUCGUUUUAUUUAGAUUUUUGAUGUCUACGAAGCAUUAUCGUGGAUUUGCAUUCAGAGGUUAGAUAAUAUUGUGAUUGAGUCUGAUUGUCAAAGUGUGAUCAGUGCUUUAAAUCGUCCAAGUAUUGAUAUGUCAAUGGUCACAACAUCCAUAGCUAAUGGGGCAGUUAGAAGGAAAAAAAACCAUUUUGAUGCCAUAUUAGAAAUAUGAAAUAUGAGGAAAUUCGUUAAUCUGACUUAACAAAUACAAUCAGAUUUCCAAUACUUAUACACCAGAAAUGAAUCGCUAACAGAAUAAAAAAAACUACCCUUAACUAUUUAACGAACAAUGAACUGCUCUUAACUAAUUUACAUUACUUAGUUUCUACUGAUAGAAAGCACUUGUGACACUGUUAUCAAUGAUCGAUGUCUUGAUUAUUAAAAAAAUCAAAUCUUAAAUUAAUAAUUUAUUAAUACUAGAAAUUAAAAGAUCUAUUGAAUUUGACGAUUAAACGCUAUCAGGAGCGAAGCCAACAAUUCAUUAUCGGGGAGCCAAAAUAAAAUUUUGAAAAUUUGAGGGAUUAAAAUUAAAAAAAUUGUUAAAAGAAACUUAAAUUAAGUAAUUCAUAACUAAAAGAAAUUGAAAGUGAUAUUAUGCCGGUAAAGGGUUACCGUCUACCCUUUAAUUACACCAUAAACAUCAGUAAACUAUAAUAAUAGGAUAACCCAAAUAAUAAGUCUUAAUAAAUUGAAAUUUUGAAACCGAACCGAGACACUCCAGUUGCCACGUCUGCGUCCUAACCUGGUGGGUUAUCUUUAAGGAUGAAAAUUUAAGGGGGAGUGAGCUACAACUCUUAGUUUGAGUUAAUCAUAAGAAAAUUAGUACAAUAGUUAGUAAGAUGCAUUAGAUAAUAUCGCAUAAAAUAUUCACAAUCAGAUAACAAUUCAAAGUAUCAAUUUUUCAAAGCAACCGCCAUUAAUAUAUCGGAACUCACAAUAAUAGUUUUAAGAAUAACCAAAUUUUCAUAUUUACCCACAAUGAACAUAUAUAGACACACAUAUAUAAUAAUAGAUUUUCCAGAUUUGUAUGCACAUGAGUUUAAAAUGCCAUACAGUUUUGGUUUUUAACAAAAUAGAUCCUACCCCACCACGACAUACUAUAAUGGGAGUUCCCCAGAACUCCCUUCUCCAACACAACGGGAUAUGGAUAAACCACUAUUGGUUCGUAAAUAAUAACUUCCAUUUGACUUUGGACAUAUAGUAAGUCCCCGUAGUUGGAAUCCGCCUUUGGUUAUGGAUACACAGCAAUACCCGCAGAUGGAGUUUGCCUUUGGUUGUGGAUACACACAAAAUAGAUAAAUGUGGAUAAACUGCCAGACUUCUUCUGAUCACAUCGUCUCAUCCCAUGUAAUGCAAUGCGGCAUAUUUAAUAUAGAUCAAGUAUGAUAGCAAUUAAUGUACUAAUACAUGGCAAAUCAGUAGCAAAAUCAUGUUUUUCAUGUAUUCGGAUUAAUAGUAAUAGAGGUCAUUUAUGCAAAUAUUAACAUUUACUAUCAGUAAUUUAUACAAAUAUACAUAUACAAAUAAACACCGUAUUAAUUCGAUCAAUCAUGGUUUCUAACAUAUUUCAUAUCCUUAGGGACCUAAUUGCAUAAUUUCAAACACUAAAAGUAGUUCAGAACUUAUACAGGGAUUCAUAUGAUCAAAACAUAGAAUUCUGGGUCAAAACAGUAAAAUCUUAGUUUCAGGGGACACACAGCUAUAUUAUAGGAUCGUGUGGGAAGCCUUGGGCCGUGUGGAUGGAAUACAAAGCCGUGUGGCUAGGCCAUGCAGGUCAUUCAAAAUUAAGCUUCAGGGGUGACACGGUUGUGUGGGAGGCUGUGUAGGGGGUCCUAGGCCAUGUGAAAGUCGAACAUUCUUGGGUUUCAAGGGGGCAUGGCCGCGUGUGGACCACAAGCCCGUGUUGUUGGCCAUUUGGCCCUAUUUUAGGAUUGGUUUUGCCCCAAGUCACUUGUAAAAGAACACACACCUGUCACCGGUGUCUCGAGCGACGUCCCUCUCAAUCAAAUCUGGUGUUGGAUACCUAAAUCAAGUCCUUCAAACAACAUUAAUUAAGGAUUAACAAAUGUUAUCAAAAUCUAUCAAGAUUAUCGUGAAUUUCGACAAGAAAUCAUUAAAAAGAUUGAUAAUGGAUGAAAAAUUAGUUUCAAGAUAAUGAUAUUACGAAUCUUUGAAGUUCAAUUUAUAGAUAAGGCGAUUACCAAUCCUUAGCAAGAUUAGAGACGAAAUUGAUGACGUUACGCUAAACUAAUAGAAAAAUUAGGUUGAUCGAAGAUUUUUUUUAGGUUCAGGAUGGAAAAUAAUAUUUCACAACAAUGGAGAAAAAUAUUCACAAAUGGAAGAAUGGAAAAGAAAAAGGGAGAAAGAAAUAGAGAGAAAAAUAAAUAAAUUUUGGUUUAGUUUGGAAAAGGAACAAGAAUACAAAUGUUAUUAGGAAAAGAUAAAUACCCAGAGUUUUCAAAAUUUAAGGGAUUGUUUGGGUAAUUAACCCUUCUUGUCGAAAUUAAAUAGGGGAAAGAAGAUGGGGAGGUGUUUGGCAUGACUUGAACCUUGAAAACAAGGGAAGGAAUGCAAAGGCUUAACCAUUUGGCUACUGCUCACUCUUGAAAUGUAUUUGCUCCAUUAAAUAUAUAUUCUAGGGGACUUUUAUUCUACUUUGCUGAAAAAUUAAAACAAAGAAAUUGGAGAAAGGUGGAUUGAACCUAAAAUCUCUAGGGAGUAUACUAAGCUAUUAACCAUUAAGAGUAAGACUCAUUUCUUAGUUAAUUAUUACUUCUAAACCUAUAUAUUUUAGGGUGUUACAGUUCUUCCCUACUUAAAGAAAUUUCAUCCUCGAAAUUUAUCGAAUAAAUGAGGAUACUGUUGGUGGAACGUGACUUUUGGUUCCCAUGUAGCCUCCUCUAUCCUAUGGUUCCGUGACAAUACUUUCACAAGAGAAAUUUAUUUCCUUUUCAAAACCUUUACAUCUCAAUGCAGAAUUUGAAUUGGUUCUUCCUCAAAGGACAAAUCCGAUCUCAAUUCGAUCUCCUUAAUUGGAAUAUUAUGGAUAGGAUUAGAUCGGUACCGUCUCAACAUAGAGACAUGGAAAACGUCAUGGAUCCGAUCCAGUUCGGGAGGUAAUUCUAAUUGAUAAGCAGGUGGGUCGAUUCUCUUAAGAAUUCGAUAGGGUUCUAUGAAUUUCGGACUUAACUUACCCUUUCGAUCCAACAUGAACACCCUCUUGAUUUUAAGGCUUGUGUCGCAACAUUGAUGAUAGUUUAUGAGCUAGGGCUUGAUUUUAGGGCUAUGUCGUGACACUCUCUUGCUAUGUCGCAAAAGUUUACAAAAUUGAUGAACUCUAGGGAAAAGCUUGGUACUCCAAUUAAAGAACAUAUGCUUUUGCUUAUCAAAUCUUUGCAUAAGUGGAGGACAAUGGGCUGAUUUAGAUCAUAACACCUAGACAGAGAUGGUGCUCAAAUAUCUAAUAUUAUUUUUUUAUAUUAUUAAAAAUUUCACAUGUCAACUACUAAUUUGCUAAAGGGUAUUUUUUUUAGCAGAGAUAAUGGUAUGGGCCCAUAAUGGUUACAAUAUUAUAAUUUAAGUACUUGAUUUGACAAAAAAAAUGAAUCCAACUCAAAUGGUAUAGUUUGAGGGUUGUGUAUUGAACUAAGCCUUUUUUAUAGUAGUGAUAUAAAUAUCUUCUUUUUUUUUUUGUAAAACGAUUAUUUUCCCUAGCCUAGUCCUAGGAAAGGUGAACACCUAGAUCAAUAGGCCACGAUUUCAAGUUCAGUGAUAUAAGUAUCUUUAAUUGCAUUUGCUAUCAUAUACUCAUUUCGAUGUUUAUGACAUUUCAAGUUAACUUGUGACAUGAACUAAGCAAAAAAACUUUAAUAUAGUAUAAAUAUUAAAUAAUUGCAUAUUGGGACCCUCAUUUUAUUUAGAUAUUUGAUGUCUAUGAAGCGUUAUCUUGGCUUUGCGUUUAGAGGUUAGAUAAUAUUGUUAUUGAAUCUGAUUGUCAAAGUGUGAUCAAUGCUUAAAAUCUUCCAAGUAUUGAUGUGUUUGAAUUCGAUACUCUUGUUAAAGACUUCGUUCUUCUCCAUUCCUUUUUCUCUGAUUUGUCUUUCUAAUAGAUGAGAAGGGAGACUAAUAAGGUGGCUCAUAAAUUAACUAGGGUGACUUUUAUUUUAUGCUUCUUUUCAUGUUUUUGAAAUACCUAUGAAUGUUCUUUCACCUGAUCCCAAAAGAGUUGUAAACUCCAACGCUUCUGAGGAUGAGAUGCAUAGGAUUAGAUGUACGAGAUAAGCCUGUUAGACAUGGGUUUAGCUUGUCUUUUUAUUCUUUUUUUUAAUUAAUAUAAAGUGUGCUUUUACCCUAAAAUAUUAAAUAAUUAUAUAUAAAUGAUUAUAGUUAAUAAAUUUAAAAUCUAGAUAUUAAUAUUUACCAUUUUUACAUAAACUCGGACUUUUAUUUUAUUUGAAUUUUAAUAUAUAUACUAAUAAUAAAACUAUUGUAUUGAUGUUUCAAAUUUGAUGUACACCUACUCAAUUUAAUGUCGAAAAAUCAUAUUUAUAAAAUUAUAUUACUAAAUGCAAAUAGGAAAAAAGAUAGUUGAAUAAAGUUUUAGUUGUUCCUUUUUAAAUUAGACAAAACUUCUUAAGAAAUCAAACCUCUAAAAGGAUUUUUUUUUUUAACUCUUCAUAAUAUAUAUUUUUGAAAACAAUUUCUUCAAUUAAAGUGAAACAAGUUUUUUCCUUUUUGUUUUUGGUCAAAGCAUGUUUGAAGUAGAAAUCAAAACUCUUAUUUCAUACUUACAUGACUCUUUGAUCUAUUUGUUUGUAUUUUCUAGACAGGCUUUAACUACUUUUCUACAUAUAUUUUACUCAUAGUGAUCUUACGCGGCUGUUUUCAUUUUAAUGCAACAGCUCAUCAUUUUCACUAAAAAAAAUAUUUAUCAAAUAUUAUCACGUAUAUUAUUAUUUAUUUAUUGGAUAUUCUUUCCUUCUAAUCAAGGUUGACGUAAAAGAAAAGAUUGAAUACCCAAAAUCAGUAACUAAAAAGGGAAUGAGCUAAAAUAUUGUCACAUAUAUUAUUUAUUCAUUCAUUUACUUCUUUCUAUUAUAACUUAAUAUAGUAUCAAUUUUGAGUCUUGAUAUUUAGGGUCGAGUUUUAUCAUAUGUAAUUGCGAUGUAUGAGUCUUCAUCCCACGUAGUUCGUGUGCCAUGUGUGGGGUGAAGUCAUAUUCUUUUCGAUUUAGUCCAAUUGUUUCUGAUUCUUUAUCCGUUAUGCGUGUCUCAUGUGUGUCAUAUAAUAUUGUUUUUGAUCGAGCAUAUAUUUAUAUUUAUAUUUUACUUGUGAUAUUGUAUUUAGUAAGUUUGUGAGAUUAACAAUUUAAAAAAAAUUAUAUUUACCCAUUUUCUAACAUCAUAUAUAACACAUCAAUCACCAUCCAAAUCUUAAAUAACUACUCUUUGCUCUUGAUAUGGCUUGGGGCUCCCAAUUUUGCCAUUCACUUUUUCUAAGAUUUUAACUUUUUUUUAAAAUAAUUAUUGAUGACUUUUUUUUGACACAACGUUUAGAACUAUUUAUAAUCUCUUCAAUCCAUAAGUAGGAAGAUAAUGCACUUCAGCGCACUGGAACCCACGUCCUUCUUUAUUGGCAACAAUAUCCAUGCCAAUGAGUCAAUUGACAUAUUUUUAAUAUUAUAUUUUAGUGUAAUUAAAACGAGAUUGCUUAUUAAUAUUUAUGAAAAGGGAUUUUUUUUUCAAUGUUUCUUUUAUGAUUAAAAUUGUGAGAGAAUAUUGUUUAAAGAGAAAUAAAAAAAUCAAUGAGGUAGUCAUGAACUUGAGGAGCGAAAAUGGCGUGGAGAUAGGUUGGCUUGCCUCAAUAGCUAUCUGCUUGCGCAUGUAUCGUAUUAUUGAAUAUAUAUCUAAUCUAUAUGGUGGCGGUCAGGUUUUCAAAGUUUGGGACUUCUAGACAUGAAAUAUGUUGGGAAGGUUUUACUAUGGGUUGAGAAAAAAAUUAUAUUAAGACCAAAAUUUCUAACAUUAUAAUAAUAUUACAAUUUUUAACAGUUUUUAAUUAAAAAUGUUGAUAUAAACCUUUUCUUUUUGAAGCGCACAACAAGUUGCAUGAGUUUGACCAUAAGCUAUAUAGCUUUCGGUUUGUAUGUAUUCUGAUUUUUGUUUAUCAUUUUGCAUCACAGCAGAUCCAUGCCGUCAGGACUGGUGCCGUAGUGUCCUUUGUACUGAUAGUUUAGCUUGGAGCCACAUAUCGACAGUCCACUUUCCAUAUGGCAUCACAUAGAGAUUUAAUUAAUUUUUUGCAGCAGUUGAUGAAAUCAACCACUUAUUCUUUUAGUCAUUAAAUUUUAGUGCAUAAAUUGAUGAAGAGCCCGGCUCCCAAAUGGCACCUUGUCCAAUCAAACAGGCGUAUCAUAGCCUAUAAAUAGCAUAUUGAGCCGUAUGCUAAUUCACUUCAAAACAAAAAGAUCUUAAAAACAAACAAGACGUCAGCUAAGAUGAAUAUGGGCAAUGGUAAUGGGGAGGAUGCUAUUGAGGCACUCCAAGCACAAGCUCACAUUUGGAGACAUGCUUUCAACUUCGUAAGCUUCAUGUCUCUAAAAUGUGCACUUGAUUUAGGCAUCCUUGAUAUCAUUCAUGAUCAUGGCAAGCCCAUGACUAUUACCCAGCUGGUUGCUGCGCUACAGAUGCUCAACCCUACUAAAGCAUGCGACAUUUAUAGGCUCAUGCGCAUUCUAGUUCACUCGGACUUCUUUGCACGCCAAAAGCUAGACAAUGAUGCUCAAGAAGAAGGAUAUGUUCUUACCAACUCUUCUCGUAUUUUGCUCAAGAAUAAUCCCUUCUGCAUAACGCCUACUUUGAAGGCUACAAUGGAUCCUAUUAUAACAAAGCCUUGGAGUUUUCUAGGGACCUGGUUCCAAAAUGAUGAUCAUACUCCAUUUGCUACUGCAUAUGGGAAGACAUUGUGGGACUAUUUUACCCAUGAUCCUCAGCUAAAAGAUUUGAUAAAUGAUGGCUUAGCUAGUGAUUCUCAAUUGGUUACUAGUGUUCUAGUUGACAAGUGUAAAGGGGCAUUUGAGGGAUUGGACUCCCUUGUAGAUGUUGGGGGUGGCACAGGAACUACGGCCAAGGCCAUUGCUGAUACAUUUCCACUCAUGGACUGCACUGUGUUUGAUCUUCCUAAUAUUGUUGCUGGCUUGCAAGGGAGUAAGAACUUGAAAUAUGUUGGAGGCAACAUGUUUGAGGCAUUUCCAACAGGAGACGCAAUUUUAUUAAAGGUUAAGCUUUACUAAAUUUAUUCGCAUUAUUUUUUUUGGGUAUUUUUACUUUUAUAAAUAAUGCACAACAAAUUCCAUUACACAUGAUAAUAUUCAAAGAUUUGAAGGCAAAUGUAAUCAUAGUUUGUGGGUUAGCUAAUGUUUUAUGUUUUUUGAGCUAAUUAUGAAUGAUAAUUGAACAGAAGGUAUUGCACGAUUGGAAUGAUGAAGGAUGCUUGACAAUUUUGAAGCGAUGUAAAGAGGCCAUUUCAAGCCAAGACAAGGUAGGAAGAAAGUUGAUCAUAAUUGACAUGGUUGUGAGGGAGAAUGAGCAAGUGAAUGAUGAAGCCUCAAGCUUAACUAAAACACA
rnacentral:lncRNA from 1 species